rnacentral:lncRNA from 1 species
CCGUCCAUCCUUUCCCAAAAGUGCAGCAUCUCUCAUUUCCUUCUUCAUCUUCUCCUCCCCCUCCUUCCGUGAUGCUCACUCGCCUAUAAAUAGCCCUCGCUGCCUGCCAUUGUUCCUCAAGCCAGCAAGCAAGAAGCACACAGGAAGCUCCUAGCCAACACCAAUCAAGGCCUCCAUCCAAUCCCAAGCAACCUCGAAUAUGUCUUGCUGCGGAGGAAACUGCGGAUGCGGCACCGCCUGCAAGUGCGGCAACGGCUGCGGUGGCUGCAACAUGUACCCCGAGGUUGAGGCCGCCGGCGCCACCCUCCUCGUCUCCGCCACUGCCACUCACAAGGGGUACGUCCCUUCUCUUGACAAAAUUUUCUCCACAGCUCAUACAUCAUCAUGCACUCGAUCUUUUUUUUUUGCGGGGUACGUGCAGGAGCUCCGGCGGCAUGGAGAUGGCGGCCGAGAACGGCGGCUGCGGCUGCACCCAGUGCAAGUGCGGCACCAGCUGCGGCUGCUCCUGCUGCAGCUGCUAGAUCAUUGAUCAUGCAUGCGCCGCGUGCAUCAUAUCUAUGAUCUACGUAUCCAUCUACUACCAUGUAAUGCCACCUGAUCGAGGGUCUUUGUAUGUAUGUAGUAUGUACGCACCUGCCUGCAUGAGCAGAGCGGGUGCCAUUCCAUGCAUGUAAACCCCUAAAUAAAAUCUCCCGUGGUUUUGCUUACAUCGUGUUGUUAGAUCCUCCUCCUAUUAGUGUUGCUUUCGGGUUCUUCUUAUGCACUAGCAGGAUCAGAGGCCGGUCUUUUGUUCUUGGUCUUCUCCUCAAACUGUCGUUUUCCUCUUCUCUAUGGUUCCAUGUGCGGCAGUAUUUUCUUCUUCUGUUGCCGAGUGUUGUAUCAGACUGUACCUUGUUUUGUGGUUUAUUCCUAUCCAUCUCGAAAUAUAGUGCAGGAAUUUAUUUGCAAAAGGUGGAUCUCAACAAGACACGACGGUAUGUGUAUCUUGCAGGAUUUAUUGAUCGGUCUAUCUUAUGCAUCUUAUUAAAAAAAUACAUUAAGGUCUCAUGGUCAAGCCAAAUUAUCAUUGUUUUUCCUUGCAUGCAAAAUGCAGCAAUAAAUCUUCGUCCUUGGCUUGUUUCUCAUUUCACUGCCUACGUUGCAGGUAUCCGACCCUGUUGGAAUCUCCUUUUCUGUCAUUGUGUUCACUUUCUGUGAUGUGAUGUGUGCGCAAAUAUUCCCACAACAACAACAUAAUAAUAAAGCCAUAUACGCAAGCAACCGAAUAAUGGCAAUGAUAUAUUACUGCUCAAGGCGCAUCUCCAAAUCAACCUGUCAUGUCCAUGGCUGCGUCUAAGCACUCGGGGCAGAAAUACUCACUCUCCGCCACUGAUUCAUAUCACCGAAUCCACACGGCCAAAUUACGUCCUCCAUGUUUUAAGCGAUGCCACUAUAUCUCGUGGGAAAAUUGUUUCCACAGUUCGAUAUCCCUCCCUUUGAUGAAAAAAUUCACGCUUGGCUUCUGCAUCACAGAGUGCAGAUAACGAAUAUUGUUUUCUAUGUUCUGAACUGGAACACUAUAUCUUGUGUAAAAAAUUGUGUCAACAAUAUCGAUAUUCCCUCCUAUAAAAUAAAAUCAUCAAUAGCUCACUUCUCUAUAUAACUGGAUGCAAAGUAAUGGGCGGUGUGGAGCACCCAAGACAGCACGCAAAAUAUCGGUGUUAUUUUAACUCCACUACGUAGACAAGUCACUAUAUUUACACAAUUAUGUAAGAAAAAGAGCUCUUUUAUGGUACCCUGUAUUGAAUAUUGACCGUCCAUCUGCAAAGAUCCAAUGGUGGGUACUUAUCUGUACUGGUGAAACUGGAUUAGCAGCAUCGCUAGUACCGCACGUCUCACGUCCACCGGUAUACUGCUCGGAGGGCAUUAUCGGUGACUCUGCAUCACCGGCAGCCGCCCGCCGGGGCUCGCCUCCUCUUCGCCCCCAUGCCCGCUGGGGCGCCUCCUCCCUGCCUUUAAUCCGCUGUGCUAUGCAUGCUUCUAUGGUUUUGGACUUCUGGCAUGGCACCGUGCGCCCCAUCCCCCUUCCACGCUACGGCCGCGAUGUUCUUUGCCGCCCCGCAUGGCUGAGCAGUGAGCACCUUAGCAUCGCGUUUAUUGUGUUGCCUCGUUCAUGACGACAGUGCAUGCCAAACCACCCUGCGUUGACGAUGAGGCCAGGAUGUGUACAACGUCGUGGUCUUCACGGAGAGCUGCGGCUACGAGAGUGCCGGAGCCUGGCGGAACCUCGCCUAUUUUGUGCUAACCAUGCCCUCGCUACGCUCAUGGCCGUCCUCCUUUAUUUUACUACCGCUUGCCUUCAUGAUCGAGCUCUUCAUGGCCUGGAUCACGCUUUACUUUAGCCUCAGCUUGCCGGACGUGGAGCAGCUACUCAUCUGCCUUUGCUGUGAGGUCGACGACCACGUCAUUGUUCAAAAGCUCACCCAGGCAGGGCUCAACAUACCUGUUUCCUCGUCGUCACCCCGCUGUCACAGACUCACAGGAGUGCACGAUGCAUUCCGAAAUAUUGAUUCGCCAGAGCAAUUCCCUUCACGAACACAAGAAGAGCUUUCACCGUCACAUAUACUGCUCCCUCCCCAGUAGCAGUAUAGGGUACCAUAAAAACCCUCAAGAAAAAUAAAUAACUCAGAGAACUGUCUGGCCAUAGAUGGAGCUUUCUACAGAUGGGGACAAGAAUUUGGCACCACCCACUCAAUUUCCCUCUCACCUUUUUGCAUUGCUUUCAUAUGUAAAAAAACAAAAACAAAAUAGUGAGUUGACUUGCGAUCUGCCUUAAAAUGACAAGAUGACGGUUGGGGGUUAAAAAAACAUUCAAAUGCAUUUUAUAUAUUCAUAUGUUUACUUAUUUUGUAUUUGUUUGUGCAUGUCAUAAAAAUCAUCAAUUUCCACAAGCAUACAUAAUACUCAAUGAUCUACAUUGACAAUAGGCUUUGAGAUUUUUCAACGCAUGACAAGAAAAAUCAAAUGAGGUCAGCUGGAAAUUAAAGAUCAGUUUUGACUUCCAAAAAAUUAUGAUCUCUUUUGUCCAAACUUAAAAGGAAUCAUUACAGAAAAUUUGGAGAUUCCAAUUGUUAGAAUAUUUUCCUACAGGACUAGUAGGGCUGGGAACCAUAAUGAUAUUUUCUAUGGCCUAAUUGACAUGUUUAUGUUGAGCCAAAUCUUUUGGAAAUAGUUUCGUUGAUUCAGUGACAACUAUGUGCUUGCACCUAACGCUUGAGAAAAUUCUUGUAUUUUUUCCCUCUUGCAAUAAAUCAACAUCCAUAUUUUACGCAUUUACUCCAUCUUCAAUUCCCACAGAAUUCAACACAGCAUGACCUGAAAUCUGUGUGUUAAGUUUUCCGGUUCCUGUCUUUUUAAAAUGCUGCAAAAGUAUGUGGCAUGUAAUCUUUAAAAAUAGUGGGAGUGUGAUAGUUAUUGAAAUGCAUGUAGGAUGGAAACUAAAAUUUCAGUAAAAUUCAGCUUAUAACACUAAAAUUGAAAAGGUUGCCAAGCCUAUGGCAACCAAGAGCCGCCAAGAUUUCUUAAAUAACAAAUAUUUUCGGCGACCUCCCCCAAAGAAGACAUAGCUUUUUCCUUGUCUUGACAUUCAAAAGCACUGAGUGAGGGGUAUCGGCUGAAUAUAUUCACUAAGGGCAUGCACAAAAGAGAGUUGACUAUUAUUAUUUUGCAAUGCUUUCAGAAUUUAGUUUGAUAUUGGUUUAAUUCAUAGUUCAUAAUUUACCGAGAAAUACCACUACGAGGUCAAGCACCCCUAAACUUGACCGUUAUGGCUGCAUGCAUCAAUGUAUGCCGAGGGCCGCGCGCGGGGGGUCUUGUUUGGAAAAUAAUAAUGAUCUUAUAGUGCAAUGAUUGGUCAUUGCCUAAGGUAUUUCCCUCUGUUCCAAGAUACAAGGUGUAUUUUUUAUUAAAAAAAACAAAAUUCCCUAUGUUUGACCAAAUUUAAAAUAAAACGUCUCUGUGUUUGGAAACCAUUUAUAUUUUUAUAAGCUCGAUCAAACAUAGAAGAUUUGACUUCAGAAAAAAAAAUAGUACAACUUAUAUUAUGAAACGGGAGUUAGUAGGUACACCAAUAAUUCGAUAUACGCACAAAAUGCUGGCUGUAGUUCCUUUCAUGGCUCCUUUGAUGUAAGAAAGAUGCUAGUAGAGACUAGAGACAAAGGGAAUCAAAUUAUGGGAGGAGGCGGCCCUAUCUAUAUUCCUCUUCCCCAAGCGGUUGCUCCCGUCCAUCCUUUGCCAAAAGUGGAGCAUCUCCCAUUUCCUUCUUCAUCUUCUCCUCCUCCUCCUUCCUUCGUAUUCACUCACCUAUAAAUAGCCCUCGCUGCCUGCCAUUGUUACUCAAGCCAGCAAGCAAGAAGCACAAAAGAAGCCAACACCAAUCAAGGCCUCCAUCCAAUCCCAAGCAACCUCGAAGAUGUCUUGCUGCGGAGGAAGCUGCGGCUGCGGCAGCGCCUGCAAGUGCGGCAACGGCUGCGGCGGCUGCAACAUGUACCCCGAGGUCGAGGCCGCCGGCGCCACCCUCCUCGUCGCCGCCACCGCCACCCACAAGGCGUACGUCCCUUCUCCUUCCUCAUAUAUCAUGCACUCGAUCGUAACAAUAUGACUGUAUGUUGAUCUUGGUAUGGGUGGGGUACGUGCAGGAGCUCCGGCGGCAUGGAGAUGGCGGCCGAGAACGGCGGCUGCGGCUGCACCCAGUGCAAGUGCGGCACCAGCUGCGGCUGCUCCUGCUGCAGCUGCUAGAUCAUCGGUCAUGCAUGCACCGCGUGCCUCAUAUCUAUGAUCUAUCUAUAUAUCCAUCUACCACCAUGUAACGCUACCUGAUCACGGUCUUUGUAUGUAUGUACGCACCUGCCUGCAUGAGCAGAGCAGGUGCCAUGCCAUGCAUGUAAACCCCUAAAUAAAAUCUCCCGUGGUUUAACCCCCUAUACAUGUGUUUGUGUUAUAGUCUUAUAGACCAACUUCUGGCCCAUGUUUACUAUGAACUUGCGACUUGCGAGGUGCCUGGGUUGUUAAUAGACCAGCUGGAUGCUCUCUUGAAGCAACGUAUGCACCGCUUGGAGUCGGUGUAUCUUUAUACACAUGUAUUUAUUUUACAGGUGUAUAUCAUCGGCCACACCUGGGAAAAAACGAUGGAUGGAGAAGUGUAAAUUUACAGGGGUAUUGCUCUGUGAAACGAGAAUCGAAUCAGGGCCUUAAGGGUAGGGAUGGCAAUGGGUAGGGUAUGGGCGCGUACGACUUUUUUCUGCCCAAACCCAUACCCAAAUCUUUUUUCUAUACCCAUCUAUUUCAAUAUCCAUGGACACAAAUUGGUACCCAUGCCCAUACCUAUCGGGUAUAUUAUACCCAAUGGAUAUCCAAUGGGUAUAGUAUCUAACAUUGGCAUGAUAAAGGUAAGCCAAGAAAAGGGCCUAAAACUAAAUUUAGGUACUCGGCCAUCACAAUCCGGUUUGCACUUACAUCAAAAUUUUACAAUGUGGAUUGACACACAAAUGUCUUAAUCUUCAUUACAAACUAACUUAAAAAAACAAGUUUCAAACUUGCAAUGCCAAUCACUGUAGGUAUUAUAGGGUUUAAUUUAUUUAUUAAUUUUUCUGGGUAUCCAUUAGGAUACCCAUGGGUAUAAUUUCAUACCCAUACCCUACCCAUGCAUUUUGCGGGUAUGGACACCCAUUACCCAUGGGUAUGAAGUAGUAAAAAGUCUUAUCCAUGCCCACUGUUUUCGGGUAGGGUACCCGCGGGUACCCAUACCCAUGGGCAAAACUGCCAUCCCUACUUAAGGGCGUUUGAUACAUGCGAAUAUUACUGGCCAAAGUUGAGUAUGAGAUACAUACAAUACAAACUUGACACUUUUGAAAGUCGUGCUAUCAAUCAUGAGACGCAUAGUUUAGCCAAAUUCUCGCUUAAUCUUUGUCAAAGGGUGUCACAUCUGGUUUGGCCAACCCCAUGAUCCGAUAUGUAUCCUACUCUCUGUGGUUUUCGAUGAAUAAAAUUUGGUUAAACCCUAAAAAAACUUAUUUGACGCGCCUUAGUUUUUUUCGAGAAUUUUUUUUAAAUCCGUUCAUCAAUCAUGGCAGUACAAAAAUCACAACCAGGUCCAUGAACCACCUAGCGACGACUACACUCACUGGAGCGAGCUAAACGUGCGCCGCCAUUAUCGCCCCUCCCUUACCGGAGUCGGACAAACCUUAUUGUAGUAGACAGUUGGAAAGUUAUCGUGCUAAGACCCUCAAGGACCACCGCACUGCAUAGCAACCAUCGUCGAUGAAAAGAGUUGUAGAUUGGAAAGAUCAAAGCUAUAACCACACAAGCGAAGACGAACAAAAAUGGAUCCAAUAGAUCCACCAAAGUCCAGCACGACAGAAUCCUGUGAGAUCCGGCGGGGACACACCUCCACAUGUCCUCCUCCGAUGUUAUUCGCACCACCGGGACGAGGAUCGGAUGUGGGAGACAUUAUUCCUACCCAGGGACAUCACUACCGUCACACAGCCCCAACCAAGACGUUAAACCUAACAAAAACGAGAACGGGUCCCUCCCGCUGCCGGGGGGCCAAGAUCCUCCGCACUCCGGGGAAUCGGCGCCGGCGGCAACGGGAUGAGAAAGGAAACUUUUCUUGAGAAGGAGGAAAGACAGACACAUACUGUUGUGUCUAAAUUACCGUGUCUUAGUUUGAUGUACUAUUUGCACCAGCUACUUCAUAACUAGAUUGCCAUGGUUGACGAUGGGUGUGUUCCCCUCUACUAAUAGUGCGGCAGUGCCCUAGCGGCGACAACUAUAUCAUGAACAAUUAAAACUUCACGAAAUUGGUGGCCUGGUGACUUAUGCCUGUGCCUAUAUCGCACGCUCUUUUGUGAUGACAAAGAAACAGAUUAUCAUUUUCGGAGGUUAAAUGGAAACAGAUGGAGUGAACCACAUGUAUGUUGUACCAGCAAAACAAUAUUUAAAUCGAUUCGUUGAUGAUUUCCUUGAUAUAAAAUUUGAGGUGUGCUCUACAACACCCCACCCUACCCCCGGAGCUCCUAUUUGGCACGCUAAGCGCUAGCGGUCGAGCCCGUGCGCGUCCCCUUCCCUUGCACACCCAUUUGGGUCGGCCCAUGCGCGGGGCGGGACACGCCGUUUUUAUUUUUUAUUUUUCUUUUAUUUAUUUUUUAAAUAAUUCAGGAUUUCAAAAAGUUUCAAAUUUAAAAAAAAUGUCAACUUUGAAAAAACAAAGAAAUCAUAAAAUGUUCAUGGAUUCAAAAAAUAUCUUGAAUUUGAAAGACAUGUCCGGACAUUCCCAAAAUGUUCAUAAAUUUGAACAAAAUGUUCACAAAUUAAAAAACAUGUUCAGAAAACUAAAUAAAUGAUUCUCAAUUACGAAAAUAUUGAAAAAUCAAAAAAUGUUCGUUGAUUCAAAAAAUGUUAAUUAAUUUCGAAAAAUAUUUGUCAAACAAAUAGUAUUCAUGAAUGUCAAAAAUUGUUCCCAGAUUUCAAAAACUAUUUCUUGUCAAAAAUUAUUCAGCAAUUCAAAUGUCCAUGAGUUUUAAAACAAUGUUUACAAUUUUAAAAAAUUCUUAGAUAUAAAAAAAUGUUUGUGAAUUCAAAAAAUAUUCAAGAUUAAAUUAAAUUCAUGAAUUUUUAAACAUGUUCAUGAAUUUGAAAAAUAAUCACAACAAAACAAUGUUCAUGCAAUUGGAAAAUGCUCACAAUUUAAAUAAUGUUAAAAAUCAUUAAAAAGUUCAUAAAUUUGAAAAUAAGUUCAAAAAAUGAAAGACUGAAAAAAGAAAAGAAAAACUGACAUCAAAAUAGGAAAAUAUAAAUAAGGUAAAAACGAAAACGAAAAAUAGAAAUGAAAUAAUGAAAAUGAAAAAACAAAAAUAACCCGAAAGGAAAAAACUGGUAUGGAAAGGUUCUAGAACGUUCCCAAAACCGAAAAGGAGGUACUUGGGCCGCCCCAAAAUGUGUACCUAGUGGGAGGGGCGUAUGCGCUAGGAUUAGCCCCCUAAAAAGCUUCACAACUUUUGAGCAGAUCAAUGGUCUAGAUUAAAACAUGUCCUUUACUUUAGAAGGGGUAAUAUAAAAAAUUCACAUUAUAAAAACACUUGCAAUAAAAAAGAUAACGGGCGCUCUAGAAACCCAUGGCGGCUAGUGCGACUUGUUUGGAGCUAUUCGUCUCCUUCCCAACCCUUAUCCACUACCCCGGUCGUCCAUGUAUCUGUCAAAAGUGUUAGAUGAAGGAAAUAUGCCCUAUAGGCAAUAAUAAAGUUAUUAUUUAUUUCCUUAUUUCAUGAUAAAUGUUUAUUAUUCAUGCUAGAUUUGUAUUAACCGGAAACAUAAUACAUGUGUGAAUACAUAGACAAACAUAGUGUCACUAGUAUGCCUCUACUUGACUAGCCCGUUAAUCAAAGAUGGUUAAGUUUCCUAACCAUAGACAUGAGUUGUCAUUUGAUUAACGAGAGCACAUCAUUAGGAGAAUGAUAUGAUUGACUUGACCCAUUCCGUUAGCUUAGCACUUGAUCGUUUAGUAUUCUGCUAUUGCUUUCUUCAUGACUUAUACAUGUUCCUAUGACUAUGAGAUUAUGCAACUCCCGUUUACCGGAGGAACACUUUGUGUGCUAUCAAACGUGACAACGUAACUGGGUGAUUAUAAAGGUGCUCUACAGGUGUCUCCGAAGGUACUUGUUGGGUUGGCGUAUUUCGAGAUUAGGAUUUGUCACUCCGAUUGCCGGAGAGGUAUCUCUGGCCCACUCGGUAAUACACAUCACUUAAGCCUUGCAAGCAUUGCAACUAAUGAGUUAGUUGCGGGAUGAUGUGUUAUGGAACGAGUAAAGAGACUUGCCGGUAACGAAAUUGAACUAGGUAUUGAGAUACGGACGAUCGAAUCUCGGGCAAGUAACAUACCGAUGGCAAAGGGAACAACGUAUGUUGUUAUGCGGUUUGACCGAUAAAGAUCUUCGUAGAAUAUGUAGGAGCCAAUAUGAGCAUCCAUGUUCCGCUAUUGGUUACUGACCGGAGACGUGUCUCGGUCAUGUCUACAUAGUUCUCGAACCCGUAGGGUCCGCACGCUUAAAGUUCGAUGACGGUUAUAUUAUGAGUUUAUGGUUUUUGAUGUACCGAAGGUAAUUCGGAGUCCUGGAUGUGAUCACGGACAAGACGAGGAGUCUCGAAAUGUUUGAUACGUAAAGAUCAAUAUAUUGGACGACUAUAUUUGGAUAUCGGAAUGGUUCCGGGUGAGAUCAGGAUAAUACCGGAGCACCGGGAGGUUAUUGGAACCCUCCCCCCCGGAGGUAUAUGGGCCUUAAUGGGCUUUAGUGGAAAGGAGGGAAAAGGAGCAAGGGAGGGGGCGCCCCCCCCCCCCCCAAGCCCAAUCCGAAUAGGGAAGGGGGCCACCCCCCUUUCCUUCCUCCCUCCUUCCUCUUCCUUCCCUCCCCCUCUCCAAAUAGGAAAAGGAGGAGUCCUACUCCCGAUGGGAGUAGGACUCCCCCCUUGGGCGCGCCUCCUCCCCUUGACCAGCCCUCUCCUCCCCUCCUUUAUAUACGGAGGAGAGGGGCACCCCAUAGACAGAACAAUUGAUCUCUUGGAUCUUUUAGCCGUGUGCGGUGCCCCUCUCCACCAUAGUCCACCUCGAUAAUAUCGUAGCGGUGCUUAGGCGAAGCCCUGCGACGGUAGAACAACAUCGUCACCACGCCCUCGUGCUGAUAGAACUCUCCCUCACAGCUCGGCUGGAUAGGAGUUCGAGGGAUGAAACCGAGUUGAACGUGUGCAGAACUCGGAGGUGCCGUGCGUUCGGUACUUGAUCGGUCGGAUCGUGAAGACAUACGACUACAUCAACCGCGUUGUGCUAAUGCUUCCGCUUUCGGUCUACAAGGGUACGCGGACACACUCUCCCCUCUCGUUGCUAUGCAUCACCAUGAUCUUGCAUGUGCGUAGGAAAUUUUUUGAAAUUACUACGUUACCCAACAGUGGUAUCAGAGCCAGGUUUUAUGCGUUGAUGUUAUAUGCACGAGUAGAAAACAAGUGAGUUGUGGGCGAUACAAGUCAUACUGCUUACCAGCAUGUCAUACUUUGGUUCGGCGGUAUUGUUGGAUGAAGCGGCCCGGACCGACAUUACGCGUACGCUUACGCGAGACUGGUUCUACCGACGUGCUUUGCACACAAGUGGCUGGCGGGUGUCAGUUUCUUCAACUUUAGUUGAACCGAGUGUGGCUACGCCCGGUCCUUGAGAAGGUUAAAACAGCACUAACCUGACGAACUAUCGUUGUGGUUUUGAUGCGUAGGUAAGAACGGUUCUUGCUCAGCCCGUAGCAGCCACGUAAAACUUGCAACAACAAAGUAGAGAACGUCUAACUUGUUUUUGCAGGGCAUGUUGUGAUGUGAUAUGGUCAAGACAUGAUGCUAUAUUUUAUUAUAUGAGAUGAUCAUGUUUUGUAAUCGAGUUAUCGGCAACUGGCAAGAGCCAUAUGGUUAUCGCUUUAUUGUAUGCAAUGCAAUCGCCCUGUAAUUGCUCUACUUUAUCACUAGGCGGUAGCGAUAGUCAUAGAAGCAAUAGUUGGCGAGACGACAAUGAUGCUACGAUGGAGAUCAAGGUGUCGCACUGGUGACGAUGGUGAUCAUGACGGUGCUUCGGAGAUUGAGAUCACAAGCACAAGAUGAUGAUGGCCAUAUCAUAUCACUUAUAUUGAUUGCAUGUGAUGUUUAUCUUUUAUGCAUCUUAUUUUGCUUUGAUUGACGGUAGCAUUAUAAGAUGAUCUCUCACUAAAUUUCAAGAUAAAAGUAUUCUCCCUGAGUAUGCACCGUUGCCAAAGUUCGUCGUGCCCAGACACCAUGUGAUGAUCGGGUAUGAUAAGCUCUAUGUCCAUCUACAACGGGUGCAAGCCAGUUUUGCACACGCAGAAUACUCAGGUUAAACUUGACGAGCCUAGCAUAUGCAGAUAUGGCCUUGGAACACCGAGACCGAAAAGUCGAGCUUGAAUCAUAUAGUACAUAUGAUCAACAUAAUGAUGUUCACCAUUGAAAACUACUCCAUUUCACGUGAUGAUCAGUUAUGGUUUAGUUGAUUUGGAUCACAUGAUCACUUAGAUGAUUAGAGAGAUGUCUAUCUAAGUGGGAGUUCUUAAAGUAAUAUGGUUAAUUGGACUUUAAUUUAUCUUGAACUUAGUCCUGGUAGUAUUAGCAUAUCUAUGUUGUAUAUCAAUAGCUCGCGUUUAGCUCCCCUGUUUUAUUUUUGAUAUGUUCCUAGAGAAAACUAAGUUGAAAGAUGUUAAUAGCAAUGAUGCGGAUUGGAUCCGUGAUCUGAGGAUUAUCCUCACUGUUGCACAGAAAUAUUAUGUCCUUGAUGCACCGCUAGGUCACAGACCUAUUGCAGGAGCAGAUGCUGACGUUAUGAACAUUUUGACAAAAGCUCGGUAUGAUGACUACUUGAUAGUUUAGUGCACCAUGCUUUACGACUUAGAACCGGGACUUCAAAAAUGUUUUGAACGCCACGGAGCAUAUAAGAUAUUCCAAGAAUUGAAAUUGGUAUUUCAUACUCAUGCCAGUGUCGAGAGGUAUGAGACCUCUGACAUUACUUUGCCUACAAGAUGGAGGAGAAUAGCUCAACCAGUAAGCAUGUGCUCAGAUUGUCUGAGUACUACAAUCACUUGAAUCAAGUGGGAGUUAAUCUUCUAGAUAAUAUAGUGAUUGACAGAGUUCUCUAGUCACUAUCACCAAGUUGUUAGAACUUCAUGAUGAACUAUAAUAUGCAAGGGAUAACGGAAACGAUUCCCAAGCUCUUCAUGAUGCUGAAAUCGACGAAGGUAAAAAUCAAGAAAAGCAUCAAGUGUUGAUGGUUAACAAGACCACUAUUUUCAAGAAAAGGGCAAAUGGAAUAAGGGGAAUUUCAAGAAGAACGGCAAGCAAGUUGCUGCUCAAGUGAAGAAGCCCAAAUCUAGACCUAAGCCUGAGACUAAGUGCUUUUACUGCAAAGGGACUAGUCACUGGAAGUGGAACUGCCCCAAGUAUUUGGCAGAUAAGAAGGAUGGCAAAGUGAACAAAGGUAUAUUGGAUAUACAUGUUAUUGAUGUGUACUUUACUAGUGUUUAUAGCAACCCCUCAGUAUUUGAUACUAGUUCAGUUGCUAAGAGUAGUAACUUGAAAUGGUAGUUGGACAAUGAACAGAGACUAGUUAAGGGUGGAGCAACGAUGUGUGUUGGAAGUAGUUCCAAGAAUGAUAUGAUCGUCAUCGCACACUCCCUAUACUUUCAGGAUUAGUGUUGAACCUAAAUAAGUGUUAUUUGGUGUUUUCGUUGAGCAUGAAUAUGAUUUGAUCAUGUUUAUUGCAAUACGGUUAUUCAUUUAAGUUAGAGAAUAAUUGUUAUUCUGUUUACAUGAAUAAAACCUUCUAUGGUUAUACACCCAAUGAAAAUGGUUUGUUGAAUCUUGAUUGUAGUGAUACACAUAUUCAUAAUAUUGAAGCCAAAAGAUGCAAAGUUAAUAAUGAUAGUGCAACUUAUUUGUGGCACUGUCGUUUAGGUCAUAUUGGUGUAAAGCGCAUGAAGAAAAUCCAUGCUGAUGGGCUUUUGGAAUCACUUGAAUAUAAAUCAGUUGAUGCUUGCGAACCAUGCCUCAAGGGUAAAGAGGACUAAGACUCCGUUCUCCAGAACAAUGGAGCGAGGAACUGACUUAUUGGAUAUAAUACAUACUGAUGUAUGAGGUCCGAUGAGUGUUGAGGCUCGCGGCGGGUAUCGUUAUUUUCUGACCUUCACAGAUAAUUUGAGCAGAUAUGGGUAUAUCUACUUGAAGAAACAUAAGUCCGAAACAUUUGAAAAGUUUAAAGAAUUUCAGAGUGAAGUGGAAAAUCAUCGUAACAAGAAAAUAAAGUUUCUACGAUCUGAUCGUAGAGGCAAAUAUUUGAGUUACGAGUUUGGUCUUCAAUUAAAACAAUAUGGAAUAGUUUCACAAACUCAUGCCACCUGGAACACCAUAGCGUAAUGGUGUGUCCGAAAGUCAUAACUGUGCUUUAUUUGAUAUAGUGCAAUCUAUGAUGUCUCAUACCGAUUUACCACUAUCAUUUUGGGGUUAUGCAUUAGAGAUAGCUGCAUUCACAUUAAAAAGGGCACCAUCUAAAUCUGUUGAGAUAACACCGUAUGAACUGUGGUUUAGCAAGAAACCUAAGGUGUCGUUUCUUAAAGUUUGGGGUUGCGAUGCUUAUGUGAAAAAGGUUUAUCUUGAUAAGCUCAAACCCAAAUCGAAGAAGUGCGUCUUCAUAGGAUACCCAAAAGUAACUGUUGGGUACACCUUCUAUCACAGAUCCGAAGGCAAGAUAUUUGCUGCUGAGAAUAGAUCCUUUCUAGAGAAGGAGUUUCUCUCGAAAGAAGUGAGUGGGAGGAAAGUAGAACUUGAUGAGGUAACUGUACCUGCUCCCUUAUUGGAAAGUAGUUCAUCACAGAAAUCUGUUUCUGUGACUCCUACACCAAUUAGUGAGGAAACUAAUGAUGAUGAUCAUGUAACUUCAGAUCAAGUUAUUACCAAACCUCUUAGGUCAACCAGAGUGAGAUCCGCACCAGAGUGGUACGGUAAUCCUGUUCUGGAGGUCACGUUAAUUGACCAUGACGAACCUACGAACUAUGAGGAAGCGAUGAUGAGCCCAGAUUCCGCGAAAUGGCUUGAGGCAUGAAAUCUAAUAUGGGAUCCAUGUAUGAGAACAAAGUGUGGACUUUGGUUAACUUGCCCGAUGAUCGGCAAGCCAUAGAAAAUAAAUGGAUCUUCAAGAGGAAGACGGACAGUGAUAGUAGUGUUGCUAUCUACAAAGCUCGAAUUGUCGCAAAAUGUUUUCGACAAGUUCAAGGUGUUGACUACGAUGAGAUUUUCUCACUCGUAUCGAUGCUUAAGUCCGUCCGAAUCAUGUUAGCAAUUGCCGCAUUUUAUGAUUAUGAAAUUUGGCAAAUGGAUGUAAAGACUGCAUUCCUGAAUGGAUUUCUGGAAGAAGAGUUGUAUAUGAUGCAACCUGAAGGUUUUGUCGAUCCUAAAGGUGCUAACAAAGUGAGCAACCUCCAGCGAUCCAUCAAUGGACUGGUGCAAGCUUCUCGAAGUUGGAAUAAACGUUUUGAUAGUGUGAUCAAAGCAUAUGGUUUUAUACAGACUUGCGGUGAAGCCUGUAUUUACAAGAAAGUGAGUGGGAGCACUACAACAUUUCUAAUAAGAAGUGUGAAUGACAUAUUGUUGAUCGGAAAUAAUGUAGAAUUUUCUGGAAAGCAUAAAGAAGUAUUUGAAAUGAGUUUCUCAAAUAAAGACCUCGAUGAAGCUACUUACAUAUUGAGCAUCAAGAUCUAUAGAGAUAGAUCAAGACGCUUGAUAAGUUUUUUCAAUGAGUGCAUACCUUGACAAGAUUUUGAAGUAGUUCAAAAUGGAACAGUCAAAGAAAGAGAUCUUACCUGUGUUACAAGGUGUGAAAUUGAGUAAGACUCAAAGCCCGACCACGGCAGAAGAUAGAAAGAGAAUGAAAGUCAUUCCCUAUGCCUCAACCAUAGUUUCUAUAAAGUAUGCCAUGCUGUGUACCAGAUCUAUUGUAUACCCUACACUGAGUUUAGCAAUGGAAUACAAUAGUGAUCUAGGAGUAGAUCACUGGAUAGCGGUCAAAAUUAUCCUUAGUGGAAUAAGGAAAUAUUUCUCGACUAUGGAGGUGAUAAAAGAGUUCGUCGUAAAGAGUUACGUCGAUGCAAGCUUUUUACAUCGAUCUAGAUGACUCUAAGUCUCGAUCUGGAUACAUAUUAAAAGUGGGAGCAAUUAGCUAGAGUAGCUCCAUGCAAAGCAUUGUUGACACAGAAAUUUUCAAAAUACAUAUGGAUCUGAAUGUGGCAGACCCGUAGACUAAACUUCUCUCACAAGUAAAACAUGAUCACACCUUAGUACUCUUUGGGUGUUAAUCGCAUAGCGAUGUGAACUAGAUUAUUGACUCUAGUAAACCCUUUGGGUGUUGAUCACAUGACGAUGUGAACUAUGGGUGUUAAUCACAUGGUGAUGUGAACUAUUGGUGUUAAAUCACAUGGCGAUGUGAACUAGAUUAUUGACUCUAGUGCAAGUGGGAGACUGAAGGAAAUAUGCCCUAGAGCCAAUAAUAAAGUUAUUAUUUAUUUCCUUAUUUCAUGAUAAAUGUUUAUUAUUCAUGCUAGAUUUGUAUUAACCGGAAACAUAAUACAUGUGUGAAUACAUAGACAAACAUAGUGUCACUAGUAUGCCUCUACUUGACUAGCUCGCUAAUCAAAGAUGGUUAAGUUUCCUAACCAUAGACAUGAGUUGUCAUUUGAUUAACGGGAUCACAUCAUUAGGAGAAUGAUAUGAUUGACUUGACCCAUUCCGUUAGCUUAGCACUUGAUCGUUUAGUAUUCUGCUAUUGCUUUCUUCAUGACUUAUACAUGUUCCUAUGACUAUGAGAUUAUGCAACUCCCGUUUACCAGAGGAACACUUUGUGUGCUACCAAACGUCACAACGUAACAGGGUGAUUAUAAAGGUGCUCUACAGGUGUCUCCGAAGUUACUUGUUGGGUUGGCGUAUUUCGAGAUUAGGAUUUGUCACUCCGAUUGUCGGAGAGGUAUCUCUGGCCCCUCGGUAAUACACAUCACUUAAGCCUUGCAAGCAUUGCAACUAAUGAGUUAGUUGCGGGAUAAUGUGUUAUGGAACGAGUAAAGAGACUUGCCAGUAACGAGAUUGAACUAGGUAUUGAGAUACCGACGAUCGAAUCUCGGGCAAGUAACAUACCGAUGGCAAAGGGAACAACGUAUGUUGUUAUGCGGUUUGACCGAUAAAGAUCUUCGUAGAAUAUGUAGGAGCUAAUAUGAGCAUCCAUGUUCCGCUAUUGGUUAUUGAACGGAGACGUGUCUCAGUCAUGUCUACAUAGUUCUCGAACCCGUAGGGUCCGCACGCUUAAAGUUCGAUGACGGCUAUAUUUUGAGUUUAUGGUUUUUGAUGAACCGAAGGUAAUUCAGAGUCCUGGAUGUGAUCACGGACAAGACGAGGAGUCUCGAAAUGUUCGAGACGUAAAGAUCGAUAUAUUGGACGACUAUAUUUGGAUACCAGAAUGGUUCCGGGUGAGAUCGGGAUAAUACCGGAGCACCGGGAGGUUAUCGGACCCCCCCGGAGGUAUAUGGGCCUUAAUGGGCUUUAGUGGAAAGGAGGUAAAAGGAGAAAGGGAGGGGGCGCCCCCCCCCCCCCAAGCCCAACCCGAACUGGGAAGCCCCCCCCCUUUCCUUCCUCCCUCCUUCCUCUUCCUUCCCUCUCCCUCUCCAAAUAGGAAAAGGAGGAGUCCUACUCCCGGUGGGAGUAGGACUCCCCCCUUGGGCGCACCUCCUCCCCUUGGCCGGCCCUCUCCUCCCCUCCUUUAUAUACGGAGGAGAGGGGCACCCCAUAGACACAACAAUUUAUCUCUUGGAUCUUUUUGCUGUGUGCGGUGCCCCUCUCCACCAUAGUCCACCUCGAUAAUAUUGUAGCGGUACUUAGGCGAAGCCCUGUGACGGUAGAACAUCAACAUCGUCACCACGCCGUUGUGCUGAAGGAACUCUCCCUCAAAGCUCGGCUGGAUCGGAGUUUGAGGGACGUCAUCGAGUUGAACGUGUGCAGAACUCAGAGGUGCCGUGCGUUCGGUACUUGAUCGGUCGGAUCGUGAAGACAUACGACUACAUCAACCGCAUUGUGCUAAUGCUUUCGCUUGCGGUCUACAAGGGUACACGGACACACUCUCCCCUCUCGUUGUUAUGCAUCACCAUGAUCUUGCGUGUGCGUAGGAUUUCUUUUUAAAUUACUAUGUUACCCAACAUUAGACUCCUCCACUUUAUCUUACUCCUCACAUUCCCAUCAUCCGACAUAGUAUGACGACAUCUCAGCCCCUUGUAUUCACAUCACACGGUGUUCAAAUCGCACGAGCCACGAGGCCUUGUUUUUUAAACAGAAGUGGUGUACCCAAGCACCCCUAAUGAAAUUGGCGUUCCCUUGAUCCAAAGAAAAAAAGAGUAAAAAGAAACCAAACACUCCCCCCCCCACAUACACCUCCAGCGUUCCUAUGCACCGAAUUGUACACAACCAAUAGUUUCUACAUUGCUACACAUGAAUGAUGCUUACAGUUGAAAUAAAAGGCAACUCAUUGUCGCUUACAACUAAAUAGCAAAAGGAUACUAGGAGUAGAGUUUGACAUAGGCUAGAGUAAGUGCAUUAUAUAUCCUUAUUUCUGUUUCGCAAUUUUUUUUCCUUAUUUCUAGUGUGUGAUUGCCACCCAAGAUUGCAAUAGAACACCAGGUCAACUGACAAUCCAAUCCCUGGUGUUCUAUUAUAUGUCGAGUUAAAUACUAAAAAGUGCUACUAGGAGUAGAGUAUGAGAUGAACGAGAGUAAGUGCAUUAUGUAUAUCCUCAAUUAUAGUGUGCGGUCACCACCCAAGAUUGCAACAGAACACCAAUUUGGCUGACGAAACCAAUCUAGUCCAAUCGCUUAUUGAACUAAAAGUCGGUAUAUGUACUUAGGAGUUGCCUAACUAAAGCAUGCGGUUCAACUUGAUAGAUCUAGUAAGAUUCAACUCGAUAAUCGUUUAAUUCCUAAUGGUUUCUAUAAAAAAUAGUUACAAUAACUAACUCAAACGAAAUAUAAGCGAACAAUCAAACAUCGACCGGCUCACAUGGCUUCCAAAUAAAACUAAUUAACAGAUCGAGUAAUACAUUGUUUAUUCCUUGCUCUUAAUAUGAGGUUAUACAUAACAUAUUUUGGUCCAUCCUGAAGUAAGUAUUACGUAACAAGUACUAGCUAGUAUUUCAGUCUCUACUAGCAAAUGUUGCAAUAGCAAACAGCCUUGAUGGCGUUCUUCUUAUCACAGUGGUAGUCCUUGAGGCUGCCCUUCCUAUCACGUGCAAACACGUCACACGUGGCCUUGCAUAGAGGCUUGGUGCAGAAAAACUCCCCGCCGUCGUCAACGACCGCGAAAUUGUGCUGCACAACACCAAGAAAACACAAACCAUUAUAUUAGAAUAUUAGCGACAAACCCCCAUUAGAUUAGAUUAUACGUAUUUGACAAACACAAUUAAACACACCUGCAGAAAUAGGAGUACCCACAAGUGUUAGCACCACGAGGAAGCAAACAAUAGCAGCCCGUGUGUCCAUCCCAAGAGUUCUCUCCUUUUUUGAACUAGAAGGAAAAAUAUGUGUUCUCUUCGUCUAUUUUAAUUUGGCUAUGGGACUAAUGUUUAUGUCUUGAAGUGCUUGGAGUGUUGUCUUAUAUAGACUUAUUGAAAGGGACAAAAAUAAAAGCAUUUAAAUGAUUGUUAAACUUAGCAAAAGAGAUAGAGGUGAGUCACACCCCAAAAAUGGAAGCACUUAAUGCUGGGUGAGAAAUUAAAUGACGAAGGCAAAGAAUAUAUGAGUGAUGUUUAUCCAAUAAUCAAGGCUUUAAUUUUCGACUACAAAAUAAGCAUGACCAUUCAAAAAAUGGAGUCAUCUUUUUGUCGCUGGUGACAUUGAUCAAACAUGGUUUUUUAUAAAAAAAAAUGUAUAGCCACUUUAAUUGCAAACACCAUUGUGCAUUGAAAUUCAGUUGACUUCAACAAAACAAUCAAUAUGAAUUGCAUGCUUGAUAUGUAACCAACUAAAACUAAAAUUGUAUGUUGUCUCGAGUUGACUAAAUCACCAUUUUUGGCUAGACAAUGUUUAAAACUGUGUCAACUGUGUCAAUUUGCACGGCGCCUGGGACAAUGCAAUGUCAAAUCUUGCACUAUUUUAAACCACCACAAGAUAAGCAAGCUGAGUUGGCCCGGGCCUCUUGCCAGACGCUGGCAUCCACCUCGAAAUCUAUAUCAAUAUAUUUUUUGUAUCACAUGAAUCAUAUAGUAUUGGUCUAAAAUAUAUUUUCUCUUGUUGCAAAAUAUGAAAGAAAAAUCGGCACAACAAUAUUAUAUAGACCCAUCGCAACAAUAGCAUGCUUCACAGUCGGUGGGUCCCAUGUAAAGACAUUUGGAAAUACCUCAAAAAUGCAUAUGUGUACUAUUUAUUAUUGUCCAAGAAUUUCACAUGCUCACUCACAACAAACUGUUGAAGAAUUCCGUGCAACUUAGAAACUAACGUAUGCAACAACGCGAGCACAACAUUUGUGUUAGGACUAACAAAAUUACAUUACAUUGUAGCAUGUCACACAUGUGUAUGUAGUAUGACGCAAAUGAGUUCACAGCAUACCAAAACAACGAAUGGUAACUACAAAAAAUUCCCAUAAAUCUAACAUUUUACAACCAAAAAAUUUGGUGGGCACUGACCUCACCUCAUCAAACUUGCUCUAAUAUUCUAGUUAGUGUAGAGUUUUGGAUUAAGCUAAAGUUGCUCUAGUAUUAUGCCACAACAAAAAGGAAAGAAAUGGGGGAAAACAAAGAAGAGCGGAGCAGGGUGGCUUACUCGGAUCUAAGUCGGCCAAUAUCAAUCGCAUUGCCCUCCUAAAUCCUGAUUACUCAAGCCAGCCCAAAAUUGAGGGGCUACUAAAAUAGAAGUUGAGCCUAUGGUGCAAGAACAGAAAAGCCAUUGGAUUGGAUAUGGAUAGCACAUGAUCUGGUGGAGCGAUCUCAGGCCACUUUUUGUAUAUUUUAUGAAAAAACCCUAUUAACAGUUAGGUACAAAACAAAACAUUCGCAGUGACCACCUUAAGUAUCUCAUCUCCCAAUCCAAUAGUGGAGUUAACGACCAUUUACAGAUUUCAGGUUUUUUCCAGCGACCAUUUAUAGAAUUUGCACAACCUCAUAUCCUAUCAGUUUUAUAAAAUAUAUUUUCACAUACCGAGCACAAAUAUAUGGUUGUAAGAAUGAAGAACUCAUACUCAUGCUUGUUUUAAUUCUAGUAUUUACACCCCUAAGGUUGUUAAGGUCCGGUUACAAAAACUCGAAUUUAAUUCUCUUAUAAGAACUUGUUAGAGUCCUGUCAUAGUGCACAUCCUCUCGUGGAUUCGAUAACUCAAGGUUGCUCCUUCGGGAAAAGGGAGGGAAACCUUUGUUGUCCAAACCGGAUCUCAAAGAGCACCACCCAUCUCUCACCCUACUCGAUGAUACAACAUCGACGACCAGGUACGUGUGUAACCAACCGUCUGCUCCCUCGCUCUGUCACUGUGGUGCUAUUCAUUACAUCAAGUCGGGACCCAUUUCCUUCCUUUUGAGGUUAACAAUUAAGGUUUCUAGUCUAUAUGAGGGCCUUCGGAUUCAACUUAUAAGAAUGUUAGUUCAAAUUUAAUGAUGAUUAUUUCAAGUGGAUGGUUAUGUGAACUAGGUUGGUAGAGUGGUGGCCGACCACUGUUGCGGCGGACUUCAGGGAUGUUUGAUCUAUCCACCUGGCUUGAUCAAGCAGCGUCGACAUUUGUGCAUCAUUAUUUUGUUGAAUAUGUUCGUUCGAUUUGCUUGUUGCAGGGGUGAUAGCCUCUGGUCCGACGUUUGGUUACACGAGACAAUAAGCUCCCCUUGCAAAAGUGUAUGAUGUGGGAAUUACGUGUUGUACUCCUCAGGUGCAAACGCACGUAUAUAUGAUGUACAGGAGUAGGCCACGACCUCAAUUAUACAAGGCAACUAGGAGGUGGGCCCAAUACACAAAUAUGCACAACAAAGACUGGACCGGAACUCCUCAAAAUGAUGCCGUAGGCAAGUCCUUGGUCAUGGUAUAUGCAAAUUGUUGGGAAGUAGGGACGUGUAAAACACGAAUAUGGCCAAGGGCCACCUAUUCCCGAACAAAAUGAAUAUCCAACUCAAUAUGCUUGGUCCGUCGAUGAUGCACCGGGUUAGCGGAGAGGUAGACUGCCGAGACGUUGUCGCAAUAGACCACCGUGGCACGGUCAACAGGGAAAGAGAGCUCCUGAAGCAGCUGGCGAAGCCACGAACACUCGGCGACGGUGUUGGCCACCGCAGGAUACUCAGCCUCAGCGUUGGAACGAGAGACCGUAGGCUGCCGCGUGGAUGACCACGAGAUAAGUGAGGGUCCAAGGUAGACACAAUAGCCCGAGGUGGAGCGACGAGUUUUAGGGCAGCCCGCCCAGUCUGCAUUGAAGUAGGCGGCGAGGGCAGUGUCGGCGGAGGCAUGAAGCGUGACACCAAGAUCCAUAGUGCCACAGACAUAGCGGAGAAUCCGUUUGACAACGGCCCAGUGCAUCUCGAGGAGCAUGCAUAUGAAGACACACCUGCUGCACGACAUACUGGAUCUCUGGUUGAGUUAAAGUGAGGUACUGAAGAGCACCAACAAUAGACCGAUAAAAAGCAGCAUCCGAAGCAGGAGAACCAUCCGUGGCAGAAAGCUUGGCCUUUGUAUAAACAGGCGUAGCAGCGGGCUUGUAGUUAAGCAUGUUGGCCCGCUCCAGGAGCUCAUGAGCAUACUUCCGCUGAUGAAAGAAGAAGCCAUCCGGACGGCACACCACCUCGACACCGAGGAAGUUGUGCAAAGGACCCAAGUCCUUGAUGGCAAACUCAGCGCGAAGACGAGCCAUGAGCUGACCGAGGAGACCAACCAUACAUGCCGUCAGGAUGACGUCGUCGACAUAGAGCAGAAAGUAGGCCGUGUUAGAGCCCUGAUGAUAGACGAAGAGCGAGGCGUCCGAGCGGGUGGAGCGGAACCCAAGCUGGUGGAGAAACGCUGCGAUGCGCUGGUACCAAGCACGCAGAGCCUUCUUAAGUUCAUACAAGGACCGCGAAAGCAGGCACACGUGGUCGGGAAGCGCCGGGUCAACAAACCCGGUGUGCUGCUGGCAGAAGACCUGCUACUCCAGGUGACCAUGGAGCAAGGCGUUGGAGACGUCCAUCUGGUGCACCGGCCAAGCACGGGAGACUGCAAGGUGGAGAACCGUGUGUAUCGUGUCGGGCUUGACGACCAGAGCGAAGGUGUCGAUGAAGUCGAUGCCAGCACGCUGUCGGAAGCCACGAACGACCCAACGCGGUUUGUAGCGAUCAAAGGUACCAUCGGGACGGAGGUUGUGUUUGAAGACCCACUUCCCGGUAAUCACGUUGGCGUGCUGAGGACAGGAAACAAACAUAGAAGAUUUGACUUUAGAAAAAAAAUAGUACAACUUAUCUAUACCUAAUAUUAAAGGACGGAGAUUUUUAUAGUUCUCCAUACAUCUAACUUUAUUAAUAGUCUUCAUCGGCCCACCGGAGCAAGACAAUAAGUAGGCCUGGAAACACUCGAUUCAAUGGGCCUGAAAAAUAAACGGGCAUGCAUCCUCUCUCGCUCAUCUCUCUCCUCUCGAACCCCUCAUAAAAAAUUUCUCUCCUCUCGAUCCCUUCGCUCUCUACUACGAGCGCUCCUGGGGCAGACAUGUUCUCCCUUCUCUCUACCGCUGCGGAUGGCCCAACUUGACUCCGAGACGAACUCUGCUCGAGCACGCACCCAUAGGGUGUCCCGACAGGUUCUUUGCGGUUCCGCAGGCUGGUCUAGGAACAUAUAGAAACAAAUUGACGCCAUCAAACGAAGCCCCAGCUCAAUUGCCUGGUUGCGGAGUGCGGCGGCAUGUCGAGCCGAACGCCGGCAAGAUCAUACAGGAUGAGGCAGUAGAUGCCAACGAUAGUGUGCGUCACCCAACUCGACGCAGGCGAGGAAGAUGAGCAGGACGGCGUUGGAGCUCAGCAGGGCGCCGACGAGAACGUACGGGAAGAGGCGGUAGACGCCGAUGGCGGUGUAGGUAACCCACCCAGCUCGACGAAGGUGAGGAAGAUGAGUAGGACGGGGGGUAGCCGGGGAUUUGAAGAGGACUCGGAAGGGCUACACGAGCAUGACCAGGUCGUCACUGAAUCGGAUCCGUCACCUCAUGCGGCUGAGCUGUUAGAGGACGAUGCAGAGGCUCUGGUCAAAGGCGACCAUGAUGGAUGUGUCACCGCCGGCCACGCGAUAGAGGAAGAAGGUGAGGCUCAAGAGCCGGCCAGCCGAGUGGACGUGCCGGUGCAGUUGUGACCGCUCGGGAGGUUGAAGGCAAGCGAGGGAGCUCAUGCGGCGACGUCGGCAAGGCUCGGUGGCGAGAUAGCGCAGAAGAGCGGUGCAGCGGAGCGACAACCACGAUGCUAGGGCGUUGCGGAGAGAAAGGAUGAAGAGAGAUAGGGCAAGGGAGUCCUACUGCUGGUGGAGGCACGCAGGAGGAGCUCGAGCAUCAGUUGGCGGGCGAAGCAAGGAGUCGCAGGGCUUUCCAGCGACUAUGAUGGUGCGGGUUGAUCUGGGGAGGCUGGGAGAGCUGCCUCCUAGGGGCGCUGGUUCGGGUUGACGUGUGCGUCAUGUGCACUGCUACAAAAUUGCUGGAUAUGUGUAUCUAUAUGUGUGCGGCUGCGAUUUGAAAGUCGUAGCAAUGCACAGGCUUAUAAUUAAAUAAUUAUAUAUCUUUACUUGUUCAGUAGCAACACAUGCUAGCAAGCAGCAGAGACAGUAUACUAUGUUGGCGAUCAUUUGGCGAGCGAGCAGUUGAAUUGCUGCUGGCAUGCAUUGUGCAGGGGCAUGUUCGCUUGGGUCUUGGGACGAAAUCGACUGAGUCAAUAAAUAAUUUUUUAAAAGGAUAUUAGACCCUCGGCCUCUGCAUCAUUCAUUAUGAUGCACACAAAUAUUUUUAGCAAAGUUAGCCAUGGGUCGAACCAUUAGAUAUCAAAUAGACAUCUACAACUAAGUCGACUUCUGCUGCAACAUCUCUUCAAGAAGGGAUAAACUUUCUCGCCAUCGACCGAAACAAUCCGUAAGAAGAAGAAAAUGAUCACACAUGUGAAACAUAAUUGUCAAUACAAAUACAUGACACAUGGUGGUACGAACACACAUCACGAUGGAAGAAUACCAGCAACUUAAAAGCAAGCCUACAUCAAAUCUAUAUUUCAUUAGUAUUUAGUCCAUAUUUUUAUUUCUAUCAACCUAAACUCCAAUUACGUUAAAAUUUAGGUUUGAACUGCAGAUAUGAGAUUUCGAAUUUAAAGAUUGAACGUAUAUUUAAAGUUCUCAUAGUAUGUGUCUAUUUUUUGGGGUGUCUUUUUACUCGAUAGGAAUCCAAUUCAAUGCUCAAAAUCAAAUAACAAGAUUAUUGCUACAUAUUUUGAUAAAGCUAAAUUUUACUUGAAUUUUGGAUGUAGUUUAGACAAAUAAUUCUCACUAAAUCUUACUAUGGGCCAAUUUUUCUCUACCGUUGCAACACACCGGAUCGAGAGUUUCCAAGAAAACAUUGUCAGUCAGAUGCAUUUACUCCAGAUCAUAACUCAUGUCCUAAGCUUCACGUCGUGAUCCUCAAAUCAUGCAUCUUUUUAUUUUCUCAUCAUCAACCGUUGUGACAUGACACAGUUCCUCGACCUGGCCAACCAUGGUUCAUAGGAACUGGUAUAUUUCUCCCGCUGCAACGCACGGGCAUUCGUGCUAGUAUUUUGAAACGGGAGUUAGUAGGUACACCAAUAAUUCGAUAUACCCACAAAAUGCUGGCUCUAGUUCCUUUCAUGGCUCCUUUGAUGUAAGAAAGAUGCUAGUAGUGACUAGAGACAAAGGGAAUCAAAUUAUGGGAGGAGGCGGCCCUAUCUAUAUUCCUCUUCUCCAAGCGGUAGCUCCCGUCCAUCCUUUGCCAAAAGUGGAGCAUCUCUCAUUUCCUUCUUCAUCUUCUCCUCCUCCUCCUUUCUUGAUGCUCACUCGCCUAUAAAUAGCUCUCGCUGCCUGCCAUUGUUACUCAAGCUAGCAAGCAAGAAGCACAAAAGAAGCCAACACCAAUCAAGGCCUCCAUCCAAUCCCAAGCAACCUCGAAGAUGUCUUGCUGCGGAGGAAGCUGCGGCAGCGCCUGCAAGUGCGGCAACGGCUGCGGCGGCUGCAACAUGUACCCCGAGGUCGAGGCCGCCGGCGCCACCCUCCUCGUCGCCGCCACCGCCACCCACAAGGCGUACGUCCCUUCUCUUUCCUCAUACAUCAUGCGCCUCGCUGUAAUAUGACUAUAUAUGUUGAUCUUGCUAUGGGACUAAGGAUGGAUGGAUGGGUGCAGGAGCUCCGGCGGGAUGGAGAUGGCGGCGGAGAAUGGCGGCUGCGGCUGCACCCAGUGCAAGUGCGGCACCAGCUGCGGCUGCUCCUGCUGCAGCUGCUAGAUCAUUGAUCAUCGAUCAUGCAUGCACCGCGCGCAUGCAUCAUAUCUAUGAUCGAUCCAUCCAUCCAUCUAGUACCAUGUAACGCUACCUGAUCGAGGGUCUUUGUAUGUAUGUAAGCACCUGCCAGCAUGAGCAGAGCAGGUGCACUCCCAUGCAUGUAAACCGACCCCUAAAUAAAAUCUCCCGUGGUUUAACCUAUACAUGUGUUUGUGUUAUAGACCAGCUUCUGGCCCAUGUUUACUAUCAACUUGCGAGGUGCCUGGGUUGCUAAUAGACCAGCUGAAUGCUCUCUUAAAGCAACGUAUGCACCGCUUGGAAUCGGUGUAUCUUUCUUUAUACACAUGUAUUUAUUUUACAGGUGUAUAUCAUCGGCCACACCUGGGAAAAACGAUGGAUGGAGAAGGGUAAAUUUACAGGGGUAUUGCUCUGUGAAACGAGGGUCGAAUCAGGGUCGUAAGGGUGUUUGAUACGUGUGAAUAUUACUGGCCGAAGUUGAGUAUGAGAUACAUACAAUACAAACUUGACACUUUUGAAAGUCGUGCUAUCAAUCAUGAGACACAUAGUUUAGCCAAAUUCUCGCUUAAUCUUUGUCAAAGGGUGUCACGUACUCACGUCUGGUUUGGCCAACCCCAUGAUCCGAUAUGUAUCCCACUCUUUGUGGUUUUCGAUGAAUAAAAUUUGGUUAAACCCUAAAAAAAACUUAUUUUGCGCGCCUUAGUUUUUUUUUCAAGAAUUUUUUUUAAUCUAUUCAUCAAUCAUGGCCGUACAAAAAUUAUAACCAGGUCCAUGAACCACCUAUCGACGACUACACUCACUGGAGCGAGCCGAACGUGCGUCACCGUUAUCGCCCCUCCCUUACCGGAGUCAGGCAAACCUUAUUGUAGUAGACAGUCGGUAAGUCAUCGUGCUAAGACUCUAAAAGACCAUCGCACUAGUGUAGCAACCAUCGCCGAUGAAAAGAGUUGUAGAUUGGAAAGAUCAAACCUAUAACCACACAAACGAAGACAAACAAAAAUGGAUCCAAUAGAUCCACCAAAGUCCAGCACGACAGAAUCAUGUGAGAUCCGGCAGGGACGCACCUCCACAUGUCCUCCUCCAAUGUUAUUCGCACCACCGGGACGAGGAUCGGAUGUGGGAGACAUUAUUCCUACCCAGGGACAUCGCUACCGUCACACAGCCCCAACCAAGACGUUAAACCUAACAAAAACGAGAACGGGUCCCUCCCACUGCCGGGGGGCCAAGAUCCUCCGCAUUCCGGGGAAUCGGCGCCGGCGGCAGCGGGAUGAGAAAGGAAACUUUUCUUGAGAAGGAGGAAAGACAGACACGUGCUGUUGUGUCUAAAUUACCGUGUCUUAGUUUGAUGUACUAUUUGCACCAGCUACUUCAUAACUAGAUUGCCAUGGUUGACGAUGGGUGUGUUCCCCUCUACUAAUAGUGCAGCAGUGCCCUAGCGGCGACAACUAUAUCAUGAACAAUUAAAACUUGAUGAAAUUGGUGGCCUGGUGACUUAUGCCGUGGUGCCUAUAUCGCACGCUCUUUUGUGAUGUCAAAGAAACAAAUUAUCAUUUUCGGAGGUUAAAUGGAAACGGAGGGAGUGAACCUCAUGUAUGUUGUACCAGUAAAACAAUAUUUAAAAGGAUUCGCUGAUGAUUUCCUUGAUAUAAAAUUUGAGGUGUGCUCUACAACACCCCACCCUACCCCCGGAGCUCCUAUUUGGCACGCUAAGCGCUAGCGGUCAAGCCAGUGCGCAUCCCCUUCCCUUGCACACCCAUUUGAGUCGGCCCAUGCGCGGGGCGGGACACGCCUUUUUUAUUUAUUUAUUUUUAUUUUUCGUUUAUUUCUUUUUUAAAUAAUUCAGGAUUUCAAAAAAUUUCAAAUUUCAAAAAACGUCAAUUUUGAAAGAAAUAAACAAAGAAAUCAUAAAAUGUUCAUGUAUUCAAAAAAGAUCUUGAUUUCCAAAGACAUGUUCGCAUAUUCCAAAAAUGUUCAAGAAUUUGAACAAAAUGUUCACAAAUUAAAACAACUGUUCAAAAAACUAAAUAAAUGAUUCUCAAUUACGAAAAUAUUCAUAAAUCAAAAAAUGUUUGUUGAUUCAAAAAAUGUUAAUUAAUUUCGAAAAAUAUUUGUCAAACAAAUAGUAUUCAUGAGUGUCAAAAAUUGUUCCCAGAUUUCAAAAAAUAUUUAUAUUCAAAAAUUAUUCAGCGAUUCAAAUGUCCAUGAGUUUCAAAAGAGUGUUUACAAUUUUAAAAAAUUGUUCUCAGAUAUAAAAAAAUAUUUGUGAAUUCAAAAAAUAUUCAAGAUUAAAUUAAAUUCAUGAACUUUUAAACAUGUUCGUGAAUUUGAAAGAUAAUCACAAUAAAACAAGGUUCAUGAAAUUGGAAAAUGCUCAGAAUUUCAAAUAAUGUUAAAAAAUCCUUAAAAAGUUCAUAAAUUUGAAAAGAAGUUCAAAAAAAGAAAGAGUGAAAAAAGAAAAUAAAAAAUGACAUGAAAAUAGGAAAAAUAUAAAUAAGGUAAAAACAAAAAAGAAAAAUAGAAAUGAAAUAAUCAAAAUGAAGAAACAAAAAUAACCCGAAAGGAAAAAAACUGGUCUGGAAAGGUUCUAGAACGUUCCCAAAACCGAAAAUGAGGUACUUGGGCCGGCCCAAAAUGUGUGCCUAGUGGGAGGGGGUAUGUGAUGAAGCUAUGUACCUAGGGUAGGGUCAUGCACCUGUCCUAACUGCCCCACCCAAGGACAUCUCUAGAAGAAGUCACCUUUCAAUCGACUUGGAGGUGUUCCACUCGACAGACUCGAAGACACUCGACCAAGAAGCAAUCACUCGACCAAGAUCCAACCACUCGACGGCCAGGAGACCUAAAGUCACUCCGCACGCUAACGGUCGGUCAUUAAGUAGCUUUUAUGGUCAUCAUAGCACUUUAUUAGGGGCGUUACCAGUAACGCCCGACCUUAAUGUAUUUGAAACCCUGCAUAACUAAGGGCCAGAGGGGUCUGGCGAACUCUAUAUAAGCCACCCCCUCCUCAGUGUAAAGGGUUCGCACCCCUGUAAUUCAUACACACAUAAUCCAGUCGACCGCCUCCGGGCUCCGAGACGUAUGGCUAUUACUUCCUCCGAGAAGGGCCUGAACUCGUAAACCUCGUGUGCUUACAACUACUCCAUAGCUAAGAUCUUGCCUCUCCAUACCUACCCCCCCUACAUUACUGUCAGACUUAGAACCACGACAGUUGGCGCCCACCUUGGGGAAGGUGUCUUGGCGAUUUGUUGGAGGAGUUGCGAUCUUUUCCGAUCCAAAUCAUCAUGGUUUCUGGCGGAGUUUUGGUGGAGGGCCGCGAGAUCCGUCUCGGCGCGCUCACGUUCAUCGCCGACGACUCCGCUUGGCUUCAGGAGGCUCCGCUCAACGUCGACGCACUCCUUGUCCGUGGGGAAACACACUUUCGCGGGUGCGUUCGCGGCGUUCUCUUGCGUCAACCGUCGACCCGUUAUCGGUCGGCCCCUGUGUUGUCCUCCCUCCCUGUUUCCCGCCGGCGCAAGCGCUCCGGUCGGUCGAGACUUCGGCGGUGGGUGAGACACGUGGUGGCACGCCAGUCGGCCACCCCUCAAGUCACGGCGAUCGAGCCCGACGAAUCCCUCUACGGCCUGCUCGACCUAUCGACUGGCUCUGCAGAGACCGCAUCCGAGUGCGACAACAGUGAUCUGGCGGCGAAGGUUCUGAUGGUCGAUGGACCGCGCAGUCCUCCGGAGAUUUCCCCGCACCGACGGAGGCGCAGGUGGAGGCGACCCGUCGCAUCCCCAUGAGGAAUAUCUCCCCGAGCCUUUCACGUCGCUGCAGAGAGAAGAACUUCGUCGCCGGAACAUGGAUGCACUACACACUCUUAUCGUUGGAGAAACACCCGAAGCUCGUGCCUUGGAGGACGCGCGCCUGGCAAACUUGGCUGAGCGCACUCGACUGGAGAACCUCCAGCGAGCACUUGACGAGCGUGCGCGACAACGGGUUCCAGAAUCCAGUCGACGUCAGCUCUUUCCGCCCUCGCAGGUAUAUCGAACUCCGAUUCAGAAUUUAGCAGCUGCAGCCCGUAUAGCAGAGUCGAUCAAGCCUUCCCAAUCAGAGGCUGGCAGAGGCUUGCUGCAGAAAAGAGCGUUACUCCGGGCAGCAGGAGACCAGAAUUCCGCUGUUUCUCAGUCGCGGAACAGGAUUCAUAGCAGAUCCAUUGCUGCAGACACAGUCCAGUCGGCUCAUAGUCCAAGAUCGCCCCCGAGGCGUGAGGGACGUGGGGACCGGCGUGAUCAGUACGGAAACCGUGAGCAGUAUGAUCACCGAUUCGAUCGUGACGACCGACGUUGAGUGCCCACCCCUUCCCCGAGGAGUGGAUCGUAUGUGCCUCGACAGCAGGAUGACAGGCGCCCUCAUAGUGUUGGGCGAAGGAUUCCAGUCGACCCCAGGGAACCAGGCUUUGAUGCGAGAUCCAUUCUCGUUCAAGGUUUGGUCGACAGGAACAGAGCUCGCCGAGAAGGUCACGACAGAGAUGCACCUACCAGCAGCAGAGUACAUGUUUCAGGGCCAGAGUGCUUUAGUAGAGCCAUCAGGGCCGCUGUGAUUCCUCCCAACUUCAGGUUGGCGACUGGAGUCAGUAAGUUCACUGGUGAGUCCAAACCCGAUACUUGGCUUGAAGACUACCGAGUGGCUGUCCAGAUUGGCGGUGGCAAUGAUGAAGUGGCCAUGAAGCACCUGCCUCUCAUGUUGGAGGGCUCGGCCAGAGCGUGGCUGAAUCAGUUAGCACCCAGCAGCAUUUACACUUGGGAAGAUCUCGCCCGAGUGUUUGUCACUACAUUUCAAGGAACAUGCAAGCGAUCGGCAGGACUGACGGAACUGCGGUCUUGCAUGCAGAAGCCGAAUGAAACCUUGAGGGAUUACAUCCAGAGAUGGAUCACGUUACAUCACACGGUAGAGAAUGUGCCUGAUCACCAAGUAGUCUGUGCCUUCAAAGAAGGCGUCAAGUAGAGAGAACUGAAUCUGAAAUUCGGUCUAACCGGAGACAUGUCUCUGAAUCGGAUGAUGGAGAUUGCCACCAAGUACGCUAAUGGUGAAGAUGAGGAUCAACUCCGGAGUGGCAAGCACAAGUCAGUCGCCCAAGAAACCGAAGGAGGAAAUUCCAAUCGGAAACAGAAGCGGAAAGCCGAGCCAGCUACUCCUGGGGAAGCCUUGGCUGUAACUCAAGGAAAGUUUAAGGGGAAACCCAAAAAGCCUUGGAACCCCAAGAAAGUUAAAGAUCAAGACGGAAAUGAUGUGUUGGAUUUGCCAUGUCACAUCCACACCAAGAAAGAUGAAGAGGGUAAGCUCAUUUACCCGAAACAUACCACUCGACAGUGUCGGCUCUUGAUCCAGCAGUUCCAGGGCAAACAACCCAAAGAUAAGGAAAAGGAGUCGGACAAAGUUGAGUACAAGGAAGACAGUGAUGAUGGAUACCCCCCAGGUCAAUUCCACCUUGAUGAUUUUUGCUGAUGUUGAAAGCAAAAGUUGACUGAAAGUUAUCAACCGUGAGGUGAAUAUGGUUGCUCCGGUGACACCCAGUUAUCUGAAGUGGUCUUAGACUGCCAUCACAUUCGACCAGUCCGAUCACCCAACGCACAUUGCCACCCCUGGGAGGCAAGCUUUGGUGGUCGACCCAGUUGUUGAAGGCACUCGACUGACCAAAGUCUUGAUGGAUGGUGGCAGUGGUUUGAACAUACUGUAUGCUGAGACGUUGAAAGGGAUGUGCAUUCCGAUGUCCAGACUCAGUACCAGCAAACAUGAGUUUCCAUGGAGUCAUUCCUAGGAAGAAGGCUGAGUCACUCGGCCAAAUUGCUCUUGAUGUGGUUUUUGGUGAUUCCAAGAAUUGCCGCAAAGAAAAGUUGACAUUCGAAGUUGUGGAUUUCCAGAGUGCUUAUCAUGCUAUUUUGGGCAGGCCAGCUUACGCACGCUUCAUGGCUCGACCAUGUUAUGUGUAUCUCAAAUUGAAGAUGCCUGGUCCCAAAGGUGUGAUCACUGUUACGGGCAAUCGGAAGAAAGUAGAAGAGUGUUUUCAGAAAGGCUCAAAGAUCGCUGAUGCUCAGAUGGCAGUGGUGGGGCUGCAGGAGUACCAGAAGACUACAGACCCGAGUGAUUUGUUGCGAGCCAAGAAGCCCGCUACAGAAUCAGCUUUUCAGUCGUCUGGUGAAACGAAGCCGGUUCACAUUCACCCGACUGAUCCCAGUGCUGCACCGACUCAUAUCUCAGCAACACUCGACUCCAAAUAGGAAGAAGCGCUCAUCUAGUUCCUCCGUGAGAACUGGGACAUCUUCGCAUGGAAGCCUUCUGACAUGCCGGGUGUUCCCAGGGGGCUGGCUGAGCACCGCCUACGAGUCGACUCAAAAGUGAAACCCGUCAAAGAACAUCUCCGACGGUCCGCCGUCUAGAAGAGAAAGGCUAUUGGUGAGGAGGUGGCUCGGCUCUUAGCAGCGGAGUUCAUCCGAGAGAUUUACCACUCUGAGUGGCUCGCCAACGUUGUCAUGGUCCCCAAGAAGGACAAGUCACUUCGCAUGUGCAUUGACUUUAAACAUAUCAAUCGGGCCUGCCCGAAAGAUCAUUUUCCUCUCCCUCGCAUCGACCAAAUAGUCGACUUGACUGCGGGAUGUGAGCGACUGUCUUUUUUAGACGCCUAUUCCGAGUACCAUCAGAUCCGUCUGUAUGGACCUGACGAGAUCAAAUCAGCUUUCAUCACUCCAUUCGGGUGCUUCCGUUACGUUACCAUGCCAUUCGGCCUCAAGAAUGCCGGAGCCACAUUCAUGAGGAUGAUUCAGAAGUGUUUGCUCACUCAAAUCAGUCGGAAUGUGGAAGCAUACAUGGAUGAUAUUGUGGUCAAGUCACGGAAGGGUUCCGACCUGCUGACUGACCUUGCUGAAACCUUUGCCAACCUCAGGAGGUAUGAUAUCAAGCUUAAUCCAUCAAAGUAAACAUUCGGAGUUCCUGGCGGAAAGUUACUCGGUUUUCUCAUUUUCGAACGGGGAAUCGACGCCAAUCUAGAAAAAGUCGGUACUAUACUCCGGAUGAAACGUCCCGUGCGAGUGCACGACGUCCAGAAGCUUACUGGUUGCUUGGCCGCUUUAAGUCGAUUCAUCUCUCGUCUCGGUGAAAAGGCAUUGCCUCUUUAUCGAUUGAUGAAGAAGUCAGACAAGUUCGAGUGGACUCCUGAAGCUGAUGCAACGUUUGCAGAGCUCAAAGCUCUGCCCUCCAUCCAGCCGGUGCUUGCUGCUCCAAUCAGCAAAGAGCCUUUGUUGCUUUACAUCACAGCCACGGGACAAGUCGUUAGUACGGUACUUACGGUCGAGCGGGAAGAAAAAGGAAAAGCCUCCAAAGUUCAGCGCCCAGUAUAUUAUGUUUCUGAAGUUUUGACCCCGUCAAAGAAAAGAUAUCCUCAUUAUCAGAAGCUUGUAUAUGGGAUUUAUAUGACCACAAAGAAGGUUGCUCACUACUUCUCUGGUCAUUCCAUUACGGUCGUCAGCGACGCUCCAUUGUCAGAGAUCCUGCACAACAGAGAUGCAACUGGUCGAGUGGAAAAAUGGGCAAUUGAACUCCUUCCUCUAGAUAUCAAGUUUGAGGCAAAGAAAGCUAUCAAGUCCCAAGCAAUAGCAGAUUUCGUCGUCAAGUGGAUUGAACAACAACUGCCGACUCAGGUUCACUCGGAGCAUUGGACCAUGUUCUUCGACAGUUCCAAAAUGCUGAAUGGUUCCAGUGCCGGAGUAGUAUUGGUCUCCCCCCGAGGAGAUAAGCUCAGAUAUGUUCUUCAAAUCCACUUUGAUUCCUCCAAUAACGAAGCAGAAUACGAAGCACUUUUAUAUGGGUUGCGCAUGGCCAUUUCACUCGGCGUCCGUCGCCUCAUGGUCUAUGGCGACUCAGAUUUGGUGCUUAAUCAAGUUAUGAAAGAGUGGGACGUCAGAAGUCCGGCCAUGACUGGUUAUUGCAAUGCAGUGAGAAAGUUGGAGAAGAAAUUCGAGGGGUUAGAACUUCAUCACAUACCCCGACUGAAAAAUCAAGCAGCUGAUGAUUUGGCAAAAAUUGGUUCCAAAAGAGAAGCCAUUCCCAGCAACGUGUUUUUGGAACACAUCCACACACCAUCAGUUCAGGAGGAUCCCUUCACUGAAGAAGCCCCGCAGCUAAAAAGUGCCACGGAUCCGAUUGAAGUUGAAGUUCCAGCUGUGGUCGACCUGAUCAUGGAAGUUUUGGUCAUCACUCCCGACUGGACAGUACCGUACAUCGCGUACAUCCUAAGGAAAGAACUCCCAGAGGACGAAGAAGAGGAUCGAUAGAUCGUCCGUCGAUCCAAGGCCUUUACAGUCAUAAAGGGACAGUUGUAUAGAGAAAGCGCGACUGGAGUCAGUCAGAGGUGUAUAACACCAGAAGAAGGUCAAAUAAUCCUUGAUGAUAUCCACUCGGGGACCUAUGGUCAUCAUGCGUCCUCUCGGACCAUUGUGGCUAAAGCAUACCGAGCGGGAUUCUACUGGCCAAGAGCGAAUGAAAUGGCGAAAGAGAUAGUCGACAAAUGUGAAGGAUGUCAGUUUUACUCCAAUAUGUCGCACAAACCCGCGUCAGCCCUGAAAACCAUUACACUUGUCUGGCCCUUCGCUGUUUGGGGACUGGAGAUGGUUGGACCACUGAGAACGGGCAGGAGCGGCUUCACUCAUGUGCUAGUAGCAGUCCACAAGUUCACCAAAUGGAUUGAAGCUAAGCCUAUCAAGAAUCUUGAUGCUUGCACUGCUAUCAGUUUCAUCAGAGAGUUGAUAUUCAGAUAUGGAGUUUCGCACAGCAUCAUCACUGACAAUGGGUCAAACUUCGAUUCCGACAAAUUCAGAGCCUUUUGCGCCUCUCAAGGCACACGAGUCGACUAUGCUUCAGUCGCUCACCCCCAGUCGAAUGGACAAGCGAAAAGAGCAAACGGCUUAAUUCUCAAAGGACUGAAACCCUGACUGAUGCGCGAUCUCAAGCACACAGCAGGUGCAUGGGUCGACGAGCUUCCAUCAGUUCUUUGCGGAUUGAGGACAACCCCGAACCGAUCGACUGGAAGAACCCCAUUCUUUCUAGUCUACGGAGCCGAAGCAGUUCUGCCGAGUGACCUGCUUCACAACGCACCCCGAGUCGAGCUCUACUCUGAAGAUGAAGCAGAACAAGCCCGCAGGACGCAGUCGACCUCCUAGAAGAAGAAAGAGAAAUUGCCAUGAUCCGAUCGACCAUCUAUCAGCAAGACUUGCAUCGAUUCCAUGCCAGAAAUGUGAAGAGUCGAGCCUCCCAAGAAGGAGACUUGGUCCUCCGAGUGGAUCAACAGAAACCACACAAACUCGCUCCUACUUGGGAAGGUCCCUUCAUAUUUACCAGAGUCCUCCACAAUGGAGCGUACCACCUUUAUAAUGUCGAUCGCCAGAUUGAUGAGCCACGAGCCUGGAAUGCGGAGCUGCUCUACCCCUUUUAUACUUGAAUUCUUACUCAGAUGAGAUGUAAUAAGAAAAACUUCUGAAGUUUAUUUAUCAAAGACAAGAGCGUUAUAAUUUUCCCAGUGAUUGAUAUUGUUUUUGUUUGCAUGAGAAAUCCCCCAGUGGGUGGCUUAGCUGCGAAUCCGUUUCGCUUAAGUUUGUAAAAAUAAUUUCCUACCGAGUGGUGAGCCAGCCUCCCACUCGGGGGCUUAGCUGCGAACCCGUUUCGCCUAAGUGUUUGAAAAUCCUACCGAGUGGUGAGCCAGCCUCACUCUCGGGGGCUUAGCUGUAGUCAAGUACUCGCCUAAGUAUUUGAAAAUCCUACCGAGUGGUGAGCCAGCCUCCCACUCGGGGGCUUAGCUGCAGUCCAGUACUUGCCUAAGUAUUUGAAAAUCCUACCGAGUGGUGAGCCAGCCUCCCACUCGGGGGCUUAGCUGCAGUCCAGUACUCGCCUAAGUAUUUGAAAAUCCUACCGAGUGGUGAGCCUGCCUCCCACUCGGGGGCUUAGCUACAGUCCAGUACUCGCCUAAGUAUUUGAAAAUCCUACCGAGUGGGGAGCCAGCCUCCCACUCGGGGGCUUAGCUGCAGUCCAGUACUCACCUAAGUUUGAAAAAUCCUACCAAGUGGAGAGCGACCCUCCCACUCGNNNNNNNNNNNNNNNNNNNNNNNNNNNNNNNNNNNNNNNNNNNNNNNNNNNNNNNNNNNNNNNNNNNNNNNNNNNNNNNNNNNNNNNNNNNNNNNNNNNNNNNNNNNNNNNNNNNNNNNNNNNNNNNNNNNNNNNNNNNNNNNNNNNNNNNNNNNNNNNNNNNNNNNNNNNNNNNNNNNNNNNNNNNNNNNNNNNNNNNNNNNNNNNNNNNNNNNNNNNNNNNNNNNNNNNNNNNNNNNNNNNNNNNNNNNNNNNNNNNNNNNNNNNNNNNNNNNNNNNNNNNNNNNNNNACACAUCCCAAUCCGCAGGGACGACGAGGUGUAGGUCGACUGCCACCUUCUCCUUCGGAGCUUCGCCACAAAUACAACAUGCGCUCCAUCCCAAUCCGCAGGGACGACAAGGUGCAGGUCGACUGCCACCUUCUCCUUCGGAGCUUCGCCACAAAUACAAUGUGCGCUCCAUCCCAAUCCGCAAGGACGACGAGGUGCAGGUCGACUGCCACCUUCUACUUUGGAGCUUCGCCACAAAUACAACAUGUGCUCCAUCCCGACCCGCAAGGACGACGAGGUGCAGGUCGACUGCUACCUUCUCCUUCGGAGCUGCGCCACAAAUACAAAAGUUGUCUCGAGUGAAGAACGAGUUCNNNNNNNNNNNNNNNNNNNNNNNNNNNNNNNNNNNNNNNNNNNNNNNNNNNNNNNNNNNNNNNNNNNNNNNNNNNNNNNNNNNNNNNNNNNNNNNNNNNNNNNNNNNNNNNNNNNNNNNNNNNNNNNCAGGUCGACUGCCACCUUCUCAUUCGGAGCUUCGCCACAAACACAACGUGCGCUCCAUCCCGACCCGCAAGGACGACGAGGUGCAGGUCGACUACUACCUUCUCCUUCGGAGCUGCGCCACAAAUACAAAAAUUGUCUCGAGUGAAGAACGAGUUCCACUCGACGGAGAAUUCAUGAAGAUAUUCAACGAUAAACCAAGUUCAGAUAAAUCCUAAAGGUUCCAGACCGCAGAUCGAAGUGCUCGGGCAUUCAGCCCGAAAGAUUUUAAUGGUUACAAAAACCACUCGGCAUUCCGAGGCAAAUUUAAGGUGGGGCACAAAAGUUAGUUCACUCCACAGGAGGAGGACUGGCAGGCUCGACGAACUCGUCCAGGUCGACGCCAUCGGUGAUCCGAGUGGCUGCAGCAAUAGAAGUCUCCAUAAAAGAUCAGAAGUCAUGCCUCUGGGUGUUGGCGACCUUGAUUGCUGCUAGCUUAUCUUGUCGCACCUCCUUGCAGUGGACACGAACCAAAGACAGAGCCACAUCAGCACCACACCGGGCAAAAGAUUUCUUCCACUCCUGCACUCGGCCAGGGAUCUCGUUAAGUCGAGUCAUCAGAGACUUGAGAUCAUUCUGGAGCGUGGCCCCUGGCCAAAGUGCCGUGUCGAUCCGUGACAUGGCGACCUUCAGUCGAGCCAAGUAGUCCAUAACACCGUCGAUGUGGGAUUCUAGUCGGAGCAGAUUCAUGGCAGUUUCAUCUUUCAUGGGAGAGUUGAUGGGGUCCAAACCUGGCUCAAUCCGCCCAGUCUCCUCCUCGAAGUUCUGGCAAAACUCUGCAUUCAUGAUCCAAGGAUAAGUCAAUUUUCGUAUGCUGAGUCGACAAAAAGAACAUCAGUCGGAACAAAAUGUAUACCUUCAAGCUUGAUGAACAACUUCUUGGCAAGGCUCCUUAGAUAACUCUCCAGAUCGUCCCUCCUGCGAGUGAUGCCUUCCAUCUUCUCGUACAGGUUGACAUUGUUUUUCUUCAAGCGCGUGCACUCCUUGUUGGCUUCGUUCAUGGCAGAUUUCAUCUUGGCGUUCUCUUCUUCCAAUUGGCCGGCUGAAGCCAGUUUCUGUUCAGCCAGAGAGGUUCUAUCGUCAGCUUUCUUUUGAGCAGCAGCCAAAUCCUGAUCCUUCUUCGCCAGAGCUUCGUUCAGUUUUUCUGUAAAGAAAUGGUGCUUGAUUUAGAAAGAGCAGAAGGGUACUCAAGCCUAAGACAAACCAGUCUACAAGCUCGUCUUACCAUUGGCGUCGUCCUUGGCCUUUUGCAGCUCUGUCUUGGCCAAUUCCAAGUCAAGGUUUAGCUGGAUCUGCUGUUUCUCCAAGUCAGCAAAGCGAGCUCCAAGAUCGCAAGAUUUCUGCAAACAGGGAGGGGAAGUUAUUUUACAGCGAAAAACGACAAAGACAAUCAAUACUAAGACUACGGUCGACUGCCCGCAGUCCACCAUAGUCUCGGGGACUACACCCAGUAGGUGCACUUUGCGUGCCCCCACCGGUUCGGUUUACACUCGACAUGGCCAGACCAGAUCGAGCGAAAGAAUCAAAAUACAAAGACUACAGUCGACUGCCAGCAGUCCACCGUAGACUCAGGGACUACACCCAGUGGGUGCACUCAGCGUGCCCCCGCUAGUCCAAAAAUUCAAUCGACGCACCCAGUGGGUGUACAGAUGCAAAGAUUUUCGGAAAGAGAGUCUCCAGAUAGCAUAUCCUAACAAAACAAGCGGUGACCAGCUAACCUGAACAUUGCUUUGGAGAGCCGAGCUGGCGUCAUAGGCGGCCUGACUGGCGUCCCUCACCAUCUUCACCUUCUCCAUCAUAAUGCCCGCCUGGCAUAUGGCUUCCUUGGCAGCAUUCACUUCGUCCUCUGGGACAUGAUGGAUUGCAAAAACUGAAGGUGGGUCGGCAGGAGCUUGAGCAGUCGACGAAGAAGGCAGGGCACUCGACAAUGGUACGGCGAAGGUAAGAGAACCCCGAUUGGCAUCACCAGCGUCCUGAACGACUGGUUCCGCCAUCGGCGUCGAAUGUGGCACCUUGCUUGCAGGAGCUUUCCUAUUUUUCCUCGUCAAAGGCCUCUCAGGCUCCUCAUCAUUAUCAUCGGGGAGGUCAAUAGUAUUAGGAGCUGUUCAAAGAUCAAUCGCCAAAAUCACAUCACCCAAUGGUACACAUUGCAGUUGAGUCGACCAAAUAAAGACAGAAUGACAGAAAUCAUACCCAGAUUGGAAGUGACUACAUCCUCCAUUACCUCGUCCUCAUCUCUGUAAGCUAAGGUCCCGGAAGUAGCAGCGCUGCCAGUUCCAAAGUUCGUCUGGUUAAAUCAAGAAAAAAUAAACAGCACGGAGCGUUGAGUGAAUACAAAGGGAGACACUCACGCAGAAGCGACGGGGAUGUCAAUCUUAAUCUUCGGCAACGCCUUCCGAGGCUUCUGCUCUGCAACUUUGAGAUGCUUUGACACUUUUUCAGUUGGGGUUGGUGAAGAUGUCCGAGGACGCUUUGAAGACUGACCAGUCUGAGCAAUCGCCUUUUCACGGGCGCUCGGUCGUUCUUGGUCAAGCUUGGAUCGCCUCUCCCUGCGAGGAGGCGACUCGACUUCUUCUUCGUCACUUGAGUCGUCGCUUUCUUCAUCCUCUUCUCCGUCAGAAUGCCAUUUGCCACUGUCGCCGCCGCUCGCCUCUCCUUCCAGAUCUUGCUCUUGCUCUCCGUUGGGCACUGAGUACAUUUCGAUAAGGGCCUGAAAGAAAGCAGGAAGAAUAAAGUCAGUCGACGCAGUAUAGACAGCUGCGCUAGUGGAUUCAGAUUAUAAUCAAAGGCUCAGAACCGGACCUUUUCUGGUUCGUGGGACUGGUCGAAUGGAGGAACUCUCCUGGCUCCCCUGGGGUUGUCCUUGUUUCCGGUGAUGCCCGACAGCCACCCCUCCAGUGUGUCGUCAUCAACCUCCUCCGGGUGAAUCCGAGUGGUGUCAUCAAGACCCGAAUACAUCCACAUCGGAUGGUCUCGAGCUUGAAGAGGCUGGAUGCGCCGCCGAAGGAAAACCUCCAAGAGAUCCAUACCAGUGACCCCGUCACAGAUAAGCUGGACCACUCGUUUGACCAGCACCCUAACUUGCGCCUUCUCCUCCGGGAGCACCUUCAAAGAGGAGGGUUUCCUCACUCGGUCCAUGGUAAAAGGAGGGAGGCCAGUCGACUGCCCUGGCGUCGGCUGGUCUUUGCAGUAAAACCAGGUCAACUGCCACCCGCGGACCUAGUCGGGAAGAAUCAUGGCUGGAAAGGAACUUUUCCCUCUCAUCUGAACACCAAGACCCCCACACAUCUGAAUCACUUGUGUUCUCUCGUCACUCGGAUUGGCCUUUUUCACCGUCUGAGAACAACAGGUGAAAAUGUGCUUGAAAAGACCCCAGUGAGGCCGACAACCCAAGAAAUUCUCGCACAAAGACACGAAAGCAGCGAGAUACAUGAUUGUGCUGGGAGUGAAGUGGUGGAGUUGUGCCCCAAAGAAAUUCAGAAAUCCCCGAAAUAAAGGGUGAGGAGGCAAGGAAAAUCCAUGGUUGACGUGGGUGGCAAGGAGAACGCGCUCACCCUCCCGAGGUUGCGGCUCGGAUUCCUUCCCCGGAAGUCGCGCCGAUCCAUGGGGGGUCAGUCCUCCAUCGGCUAGAUCAUCGAGGUCUUCUUGGCAGAUCGCCGAGCGGAUCCAGUCGCCCUGGAUCCAGCCCUUCGGCAGGCUGGCUCAUGAGGAAGAUCCACCCCGACUGGUCGCCUUCCCCUUCGCCUUUGCCGUUGCCUUCUUCGCCCGCUCUAGAGCCGCCGUCUUCUCCUUCCCCAUCGUCGCCGGCGAGAUGCGUACGGAGCGGCGCGCUGGGGCGAGAGCGAGCGCGACGAAGAAGCCUGAAGAGGAGAAGAGGAAAUGAGAACGCACUGUUCAAGAAACCCCGGUCCGACGCCUUAUAUGAGGUCGCUUCUGAGUGGCUGGCUGGUAGGCCCGGACGAUCCUGUCAAAUCCCGUAACAAUCGCGCGCGUGAUACGUGGCGAAAAAGGUGGCGCGGGGAUCAAGGCGGCUCCACCCUAUCCCAUCCGAUUACUGCGGCCUCCCCCGUCCCGCGCGCUUCCCAAAAUUCGAAUCCCGCGAAACCUGCGAGCAGCAGAACAACUUGUCAGACGGAAGAUCUCCUCCACACCGUCACUCGGAGCUUUUUGAGUAAAGAAACUCACUCGACAAAAAACUAAGAAUGGAUCAAUGCGACUGAAAAGGAAGUUGCUGUCAUCACUCAGGUUCAUUGAUCCGAAACAAGAUAUGCUCAUGGCAUGAAAAAUGAGUCGGAGAAGUUCUCAACUCCUUCCCCACUCAAACCUCGAUCCAUUCAGGGGCUAAUGAUGAAGCUAUGUACCUAGGGUAGGGUCAUGGACCUGUCCUAACUGCCCUACCCAAGGACAUCUCUAGAAGAAAUCACCUUUCCAUCGACUUGGAGGUGUUCCACUCGACAGACUCGAAGACACUCGACCAAGAAGCAAUCACUCGACCAAGAUCCAACCACUCGACGGCCGGGAGACCUAAAGUCACUCCGCAUGCUAACGGUCGGUCAUUAAGUAGCUUUUAUGGUCAUCAUAGCACUUUAUUAGGGGCGUUACCAGUAAUGCUCGACCUUAAUGUAUUUGAAACCCUGCAUAACUGAGGGCCGGAGGGGUCUAGCGAACUCUAUAUAAGCCACCCCCUCCUCAGUGUAAAGGGUUCGCACCCCUGUAAUUCAUACACACAUAAUCCAGUCGACCGCCUCUGGGCUCCGAGACGUAGGGCUAUUACUUCCUCCGAGAAGGGCCUGAACUCGUAAACCUCGUGUGCUUACAACUACUCCAUAGCUAAGAUCUUACCUCUCCAUACCUACCCCCCUACAUUACUGUCAGACUUAGAACCAUGACAGUAUGCGCUAGGAUUCCCCCCCUAAAAAGCUUCACAACUUUUGAGCAGAUCAUGGUCUAGAUUAAAACAUGUCCUUUACUUAUGAAGGGGUAAUAUAGAAAAUUCACAUUAUAAAAACACUUGAAAUAAAAAAUAUAACGAGCGCUCUAGAAACCCAUGGCGGCUAGUGCGACUUGUUUGGAGGUAUUCGUAUCCUUCCCAACCCUAAUCCACUACCCCGGUCGUCCAUGUAUCUGUCAGAAGUGUUAGACUCCUCCACUUUAUCUUACUCCUCACAUUACCAUCAUCCGACAUAGUAUGACGACAUCUUAGCCCCUUGUAUUCACAUCACGCGGUGUUCAAACCGCACAAGCCACGAGGCCUUUUUUUAACGAGAGUGGUGUACCCAAGCACCCCUACUGAAAUUGGCAUUCCCUUGAUCCAAAGAAAGAAAGAGUAAAAAAACCAAACACUCCCCCCCACACACACCUCCAGUGUUCCUAUGCACCGAAUUGUACACAACCAAUAGUUUCUACAUUACUACAUAUGAAUGAUGCUUACAGUUGAAAUAAAAGGCAACUCAUUGUCGCUUACAACUAAAUAGAAAAAGGCUACUAGGAGUAGAGUUUGACAUGGGCCAAAGUAAGUGCAUUAUAUAUCCUUAUUUCUAGUGCGUGAUUGCCACCCAAGAUUGCAAUAGAACACCGGGUCAACUGACAAUCCAAUCCCUGGUGUUCUAUUAUAUCUCAAGUUAAAUACUAAAAAGAGCUACUAUGAGUAGAGUAUGAGAUGAACCAGAGUAAGUGCAUUAUGUAUAUCCUCAAUUAUAGUGUGCGGUCACCACCCAAGAUUGCAACAGAACACCAAGUUGGUUGAUGAAACCAAUCUAGUCCAAUCCCUUAUUGAACUAAAAGUCGGUAUAUGUACUUAGGAGUUGCCUAACUAAAGCAUGCAGUUCAACUUGAUAGAUCUAGUAAGAUUCAACUCGAUAAUCGUUUAAUUCCUAAUGGUUUUUAGAAAAAAAAUAGUUACAAUAACUAACUCAAACGAAAUAUAAGUGAACAAUCAAACAUCGAACGGCUCCACAUGGCUUCCAAAUAAAAGUAAUUAUCAGAUCGAGUAAUAAAUUGUUUAUUCCUUGCUCUCAAUAUGAGGUUAUACAUAACAUAUUUUGGUCUAUCGUAACAAGUACUAGCUAGUAUUUCAGUCUCUACUAGCAAAUGUUGCAAUAGCAAACAGCCUUCAUGGCGUUCUUCUUCUCACAGUGGUAGUCCUUGAGGCUGCCCUUCCUAUCACGUGCAAACACCUCACACGUGGCCUUGCACAGCGGCUUGGUGCAGAAAAACUCCCCGCCGUCGUCAACGACCGCGCAAUUCUCUGCACAACACCAACAAAACAGAAACCACUAUAUUAGAAUAUUAGCGACAAACCCCCCAUUAGAUUAGAUUAUACGUGUUUGACAAACACAAUUAAACACACCUGCAGAAAUAGGAGUACCCACAAGUGCUAGCACCACGAGGAAGCAAACAAUAGCAGCCCGUGUGUCCAUCCCAAGAGUUCUCUCUUUUUUUGAACUAGGAAGGAAAAAUAUGUGUUCUCUUCGUCUAUUUUAAUUUGGCUAUGGGGCUAAUGUUUAUGUCUUGGAGUGCUUGGAGUGUUGUCUUAUAUAGACUUAUUGAAAGGGACAAAAAUAAAAGCAUUUAAAUCCUUGUUAAACUUAGAAAAAGAGAUAGAGGUGAGUCACACCCCAAAAAUGGAAGCACUUAAUGCUGGGUGAGAAAUUAAAUGAAAAAGGCAAAGAAUAUAUGAGUGAUGUUUAUCUAAUAAUUAAGGCUAUAAUUUUCGACUACAAAAUAAGCAUGACCAUUCAAAAAAAUGGAGUCAUCGUUUUGUGGCUGGUGACAUUGAUCAAAAAUGUUUUUGUUAUAAAAAAUGUCUAGCCACUUUAAUUGCAAGCACCAUUGUGCACUGAAAUUCAAUUGACUUCAACAAAACAAUCAAUAUGAAUUGCAUCUUGAUAUGUAAUCAGCUAAAACUAAGAUUGUAUGUUGUCUCGAGUUGACUAAAUCUCCAUGUUUGGCUAGACAAUGUUUCAAACUGUGUCAAUUUGCACGGCACCUGGGACAAUGCAAUGUCAAAUCUUGCACUAUUUUAAACCACCACAAGAUAAGCAACCUGAGUUGGGCCCAUGCCUCUUGCCACCCGCUGGCGUCCACCUCGAAAUCUAUACCAAUAUAAUUUUUGUGUCACAUGAAUCAUAUAGUAUUGGUCUAAAAUAUCUUUUCUCUCGUUGCAAAAUAUAAAAGAAAAAUCGGCACAACAAUAUUAUAUAGACCCAUCGCAACACUAGCAUGCUUCACAGUGGGUGGGUCCCAUGUAAAUACAUUUGGAAAUACCUCAAAAAUGCAUAUGUGUAUUAUUUAUUAUUGUCCAAGAAUUCCACAUGCUCACUCACAACAAACUGUUGAAGAAUUCCGUGCAACUUAGAAACUAACGUAUGCAACAAUGUGAUCACAACAUUUGUGUUAGGACUUACAAAACUACAUUACAUUGUAGCAUGUCACACAUGUGUAUGUAGUAUAACGCAAAUGAGUUCACAGCAGACCAAAACAACAAAUGGUAACUACAAAAAAAUUCCAUAAAUCUAACAUUUUACAACCAAAAAAUUUGGUGGGCACUGACCUCACCUCAUCAAACUUGCUCUAAUAUUCUAGUUAGUGUAAAGUUUUGGUUUAAGCUAAAGUUGCUCUAGUAUUAUACCACAACAAAAAGGAAAGAAAUGGGGGAAAACAAAGAAGAGCAGAGCAGGGUGGGUUACUUGGAUCUAAGCCGACCAAUAUAAAUCGCAUUGCCCUCCUAAAUCCUGAUUACUCAAGCCGGCCCAAAAUUGAGGGGCCACUAAAAUAGAAGUUGAGCCUAUGGUGCAAGAACAGAAAACCCGCCUAAGCCAUUGGAUUGGAUAUGGAUGGCACAUGAUCUGGUUGAGCGAUCUCAGGCCACUUAAUGUAUAUUUUAUGAAAAAAACCUAUUAACAGUUAGGUAUAAAACAAAACAUUGGCGGUGACCACCUUAAGUAUCUCAUCUCCCAAUCCAAUAGUGGAGUUAACGACCAUUUACAGAUUUCAGGUUUUUUCCAGCGACCAUUUAUAGAAUUUGCACAUCCUCAUAUCCUAUAAGUUUUAUAAAAUAUAUUUUCACAUAUCGAGCACAAAUAUAUGGUUGUAAGAAUGAAGAACUCAUACUCAUGCUUGUUUUAAUUCUAGUAUUUACACCCCUAAGGUUGUUAAGGUCCGGUUACAAAAACUCAAAUUUAAUUCUCUUAUAAGAACUUGGUAGAGCCCUGUCAUAGUGCACAUCCUCUCAUGGAUUCGAUAACUCAGGUUUGCUCCUUCGGGAAAAGGCAGGGAAACCUUUGCUAUCCAAACCGGAUCUCAAAGAGCACCACCCAUCUCUCACCCUACUCGAUGAUACAACAUCGACAACAAGGUACGUGUGUAACAAACCGUCUGCUCCCUCGCUCUGUCACUAUGGUGCUAUUCAUCACAUCAAGUCGGGACCCAUUUCCUUCCUUUUGAGGUUAAAAAUUAAGGUUUCUAGUCUAUAUGAGGGCCUUCGGAUUCAACUUAUAAGAAUGUUAGUUCAAAUAUAAUGAUGAUUAUUUCAAGUGGAUGGUUAUGUGAACUAUGUUGGUAGAGUGGUGGGCGAUGACUGUUGCGGCGGACUUCAGGGAUGUUUGAUCUAUCCACCUGGCUUGAUCAAGCAGCAUCGACAUUCGUGCAUCAUUGUUUUGUUGAAUGUGUUGGUUCGAUUUGCUUGUUGCAGGGGUGAUAGCCUCUGGUCCGACGUUUGGUUACACGAGACAAUAAGCUCCCCUUGUAAAGGUGUAUGAUGUGGGAAUUAUGUGUUGUACUCCUCAGGUGCAAACGCACGUAUAUGUGAUGUACAGGAGUAGGCCACGACCUCAACUAUACAAGGCAGCUAGGAGGUGGGCCCAAUACACAAAUAUGCACAACACAUAUACUCAACACCCCCCCCCCCACGCAGUCGAAGCGGCACUGCGCUGACGCAAAGACUGGACCAGAACUCCUCAAAUGACGCCGUAGGCAAGUUGUUGGUCAUGAUAUCUGCAAAUUGUUGGGAAGUAGGGACGUGUAAAACACGAAUAUGGUCGAGGGCCACCUGUUCCCAAACAAAAUGAAUAUCCAACUCAAUAUGCUUGGUCCGUCGAUGAUGCACCGGGUUAGCGGAGAGGUAGACCGCUGAGACGUUGUCACAAUAGACCACCGUGGCACGGUCAAUAGGGAAAGAGAGCUCCUGAAGCAGCUAGCGAAGCCACGAACACUCAGCGACGGUGUUGGCCAACGCACGAUACUCAACUCAGCACUGGAACGAGAGACCGUAAGCUGUCGCAUGGAUGACCACGAGAUAAGUGAGGGUCCAAGGUAGACACAAUAGCCCGAGGUGGAGCGACGAGUGUCAGGGCAGCCCGCCCAGUCUGCAUUGGAGUAGGCGGUGAGGGCUGUGUCGGCAGAGGCAUGAAGCGUGACACCAAGAUCCAUAGUGCCACAGACAUAGCGGAGAAUCCGUUUGACAACAGCCUAGUGAACAUCUCGAGGAGCAUGCAUAUGAAGACACACCUACUGCACGACAUACUGGAUCUCCGGUCGAGUUAAAGUGAGGUACUGAAGAGCACCAACAAUAGACCAAUAAAAAGCAGCAUCCGAAGCAGGAGAACCAUCCGUGAAGAAAGCUUGGCCUUCGUAUCAACAGGCAUAGCAGCAGGCAUGCAGUUAAGCAUGUUGGCCCGCUCCAGGAGCUCACAAGCAUACUUCCGCUUAUGAAGGAAGAAUCCAUCCAGACGGCACAGCACCUCAACACUGAGGAAGUUGUGCAAAGGACCCAAGUCCUUGAUGGCAAACUCAGCGCGAAGACGAGCCGUGAGCUGACUGAGGAGACCAGCCGUACAUGCCGUCAGGAUGAUGUCGUCGACAUAGAGCAAAAAGUAGGCCAUGUCAGAGCCCUAAUGAUAGACGAAGAGCGAGGCAUCCGAGCGGGUGGAGCGGAACCCAAGCUGGUGGAGAAACGCUGCGAUGCGGUGGUACCAAGCACGCAGAGCCUGCUUGAGUCCAUACAAGGACCGCGAAAGCAGGCACACGUGGUCGGGAAGCGUCGGGUCAACAAACCCAGUGUGCUGCUGGCAGAAGACCUGCUACUCUAGCUGACCAUGGAGGAAGGCAUUGGAGACAUCCGUCUAGUGCACCGGCCAAGCACGGGAGACCGCAACGUGAAGAACCGUGUGUAUCGUGCUGGGCUUGACGACCGGAGUGAAUGUGUCGAUGAAGUCGAUGCCAGCAUGCUGUCGGAAGCCACGGACGACCUAGCGCGGUUUGUAGCGAUCAAGGGUACCAUCGGGACGGAGCUUGUGUUUGAAGACCCACUUCCCGGUAAUCACGUUGGCGUGCUGGGGAUGGUUAACAAGCUGCCACGUUCAGUUGUGCAUGUAACAUCCCAAAUUUUCAAUUUGGAAUGUUAUACACUAGAUCAUCAUUGCAUAUCAUAUUUAUUGCAUUUUGGUUGGUCCUAGAAAUUUUUCUCAACUCAAGGACCAUCGGAGAGAGUUGGGGAUUUCGUUAUUUUCAUAUUUGAGUUGUCUCUAAUUUUGAAAAUAGGGUCAUUUGAUUUUAUUUAUUUUAUCUUCAAUAAAUUUCUAUCACAAAAAUAUGAGAGAGGGAAUAAAAUGACUUUCCCAAAAUAAAGAAAUAUUGAGGAUUUAAUAAAAAAUCAAAUAAGAUUUUAUUUGGUUUUAUUUGCUAUUUAUUUGAAUUAGGAAAAAAUGCGCGUUUUUCAAAAUUGUAUUUAGGCCCCAAAUAAAUGUUCAUCCUGUGCGGCUUGAUUUUAGAAGCCGGAGAAAAUUUAUUUCGGGAUUUUUGGAGUCCGUUUAGUAUUUCUUUUAUUUUUUUUUCUGCGCGUUAUUAUUAAAAAAACGCGAACUGACUCCGGGCCGUACCCGAGCGGGACUCCGCCCGGGGCAGCCCUUAUAAGCCGCCGCCCGGGGCCCGAGUCAGCCCACCCGGGCCGAAACCCUAGCCCCGAUGCCGCCAGCGCCGCCGCCCGCCGCCGCCUCGCCGCUCGCCGGACCCGCCGCCCGGUUUUUUUUAAUCCGCGGUUUAUUUUUCAGAUUCGUUUUUUUAUUAAAACGGUUUUUUCGGUUUAGACUAAUUAGCGAGCUUUCGCUCGUUCGUUCGUUUUAACGAACAUGUUCGUCGUUUAGAUCCAGUUAACGAACGUUCGUUCGUUAGACUGUUCGUCGUUUUUCUUUUUCUCGGAUUAAAUCCACGAUUUUUCUGAUCGCGAUUUCUGAUCCGAUUUUUGUUUUAGUAUAACUUUUCGCUCGUUUAUCGGAAUCAGGCGAUUCAAGCGCCUGGAGUUUCGUCUCAAAACGCUCUUUCCGUUUAACCAACUUAAACAAGUUUUUGCCACUGUAAAAAUUGCCCUAGACCCAGAAUAGUAAACGAAGUCUGUUUCUUUUGCCGUUUGUCUUUCGUUGCUUCGUUCGAUUUGAUUCUUUUUGCCAGCCGGAGUUCUUAAGUUGAACUUUCUGGUUAGAUCUCUUAUUUGAGUUUUACUUGUGCAUUAGUUGAGUACUUAUUGUAUGCUUGUUUGUUUGCGAUAGAGUACCCGGAGUGCACCGCUUGUUACAUCGAAUCACUAAGUUUCGCGGAUCAUCAGCAAGGCAAGUAACACUUUGAUCAUACCCUCUACUACCCAGUUUUAUUGCAUUAGAUUAACCCUUAUACAUUGCAUGAUUAGGAUCUAAUUAAAUUGUGGGUUUGGGAAGUAGUUGAGGUAGUACCUAUUACCUAUUUAUUAUCAAACCUUUGGGAGUUACUUCUACGUUUGUUUAUUUUUGCUAUGAUAUGCUAGUAGACGUGGAUUGGGUGAGUGAUAUCCAUGACAGAUGUGAGAUUUUUAAAUCAAUGGUUUAUCUAUGGUGGCAACUUAAAUACACAUCUGGGUGGAUUGAGGUACCUGGGUAUUCCAGGAUUGCCUGUUUUCUUUUGGACCGCCACCCAGGCUCAAAGGGAUCAUGAGAUUUUUCAUGCUAGAAACUUCCGUGUGCAGCCACAAGCUAUUACGGGCUCUAGCAUAGUUGACUAAGUUGUGCAAACUCUUACAGUGGUAGACUAGCAGAUGUAGGGGAUGUAGGUGGUACGGUCUACCCAUCGUAAGGUGCUAGCGCUUCUGAAAGACUAUGUCUCGGUCAUCCGUUUCUCAAACACCGUGUAGUGCGAGAAUCCAAACGGAGGUGAUCGAGUCUUGUGGGGAAAAUUGCGCAAACCUCUGCAGAGUGUAUAAACUAAUCAUGAUUAGUCGUGUCCCCGGUUAUGGACAUCUUGAGUAUCUAGUACCUGGAUUAUCAUGUGAAUCUCAACAUGUUACUAUAAAUUUUAAUUUGAUGGGUUUGUUUAAUGAUGUUACUUAAUUGGGAUUGAGGAUGCUGUCAACCAUUCUCAAUGUUGAACAACCACCAUAAUAGUUAAAUAAAAAUUUAUUCCUUUGCAGUAGGGAAAAAUUGGCUUUACGCAAAACUGUAACCAUAGAGCUUUCCACCAGCCAAAUAUGCAUAUAGUAUAGCUGUUUCAUUCCAUUACUCUCUACGUGUUACAUUGCCAGCAUAUUCCAUGUGCUGACCCGUUUUCGGGCUGCAACGUUAAUGUUGCAGACUUUUCAGACGAUGAUUAAGGAGUUUUAGGUCGUGGUUCUAUACUCAGUGAUGCCGUUGGAGUUGAUGGACUCACGUAUCUUCCAAGCCUUCCGCUGUUAUCGUUAUUAGAUGGACUUAAGCCAUAUUUAUUGUAAUAAGUUCUCUAUUGAGACACUCGAUGUAAUAAGUGUGCGAUUGCUACUCUGUUAUUUUUCCUUUCAAGUACUGUGUGGUGUCAGCAUUACUGAUCCAGGGAUGACACCAGAGCAUAGAGAUUGGACCGUUUGAGGUCUGGUCGCUACAAGAUGGUAUCAGAGCACACGCUGACUGUAGGACACGACCACUAAGCUAAAGACCUAGAUCACUACUCACUCUUCUCUUCUGGCCUCUCCUCUUUUCUAUUCUUUAGGAUGGCGGAUGCAAGGAACAAGUUCACACAACCGGACGAAGAUACACCCUUUGGACGUCACUUGAAGGAAGUCACUAGAUACCUGAACAUAGGAGUACCAAGCUUCACCGGAACCUACAAUGCCACUUUACCUGAAGAAGAGCGCUGGAUGAUUCAAGUUCAAGUUCCAGGAAGGACGUUCAUGCCAGUCAGAGCCCAUAGAGUUUUCUUUUGAUGCACCAACUUGGAGUCUAGCAAAGAGCAUGGCAGCUCACAUCGCCAUGGGACGCAUUGGAGAAUCCUACCGCAAUGAUCUCAAGGAUACUAUCUACCAGAUUUGUGGGCGCCGAGAUGAGCACUGGGAGAUGAUUAGCACCAGAAAGGAUAGAUCAAUUGCAGCUUUUAUCCAGGAGUUAAACCAGCACAUUCGACGUCAUGAGAUUCAGAUGUGCGCCGACAUGAUAGACCUGAAGAAGGCAAGGACAAGAAUCAAGGAACUGGAGGAAGAACUCAAGGCUACACGUGAAGAUUAUGAAGAGGAAAUCGAAGUAUUAGUGGGGAAGAAUGACGAUCUGAUCAAGAAGAUUGUAAUAUUUAUGGGAGGCCCUACGCCAGUAGAUGAAGACGAAGAACCCAAGGAGAUUCGCCCGGAAGAUUACAUCAUCAUCAAUGACACCGACUGGGAUAUAGAUGAUAGCGAUGAUGACUAUGUUGAUGAAGCUGGAGCAGAUAUCAUGGAGUCUGCAACCGAAGAAUAUUUCUAGUAGACCACCUGAUCAGUAGUAGUAGUCCACCAUGUAAAUAUAGUAGUCCGAGCACUUUUGCGAUAGUUAGAUCGAUUGUAUGCCCUUGUUUGAUUGAAUGAAGUGAAUUGUUUGCUUUUGCCUCAUGUGCAUAUGGGUAGGGUUUUCUCUUUAGACCCCCUCUAUUCUUAAAUCUCAUCUUUUCUAAACCCUCAGAUGCCUCCGAGACAUGACCCCAGAUUUACCUUUCCACCGGAGCUCACCCAGUUGAUCCAGCAGCAGAACACAUUGAUGUAGUUGCUAGUCCAGAAUCAGAAUCAGGGGAACAACAACAACAACCCACCACCACCACCACCACCACCUGUUGAUCACUUAGCCCGUUUUCUUAGGAUGAAUCCCCCGGUGUUUUCCAGUAGCACCGAGCCGAUAGUAGAAGAUGAUUGGCUCCUCAAGACAGCUAGAGAGUUGACCACAGCAGGAUGCACGGAUGCAGAGAAGGUGAAGGUUGCCGCACAUCAGCUUAAAGGACCCGCAGCAUCAUGGUGGGAGAAUUUCACAGCCACUUUCCCUGUUAGUACUGUCACAUGGGACCAGUUUCAGCAGGCUUUUUGAACUGCCCAUGUUUCAGCAGGAGCUAUGGCCAUGAAGAAGCGAGAGUUUCGCAACUUGCGCCAAGGAGAACGGACAGUUGGCCAGUAUGUGGAGGACUUUAGUAAGCUAGCACGUUAUGCCCCAGAUGACGUUGCUACGGAUGCCGCUAAGCAGGAGAAGUUUCUGGAAGGACUGAAUGAUGAGUUGAGCAUGCAGUUGAUGGUAGCAACCUUCAACAACUACCAGGAGUUGGUAGAUUGCGCUCUUAUGAUUGAAGGGAAGCAGCAGCAAAUUGAAAAUCGCAAGAGGAAGUAUGCACAAGGAAAGUACAGUUCAGGAGCUUAGCAGAAGCCACGAUUUACCCCUAGACCGGGAGGACAUUUUCAGCAUACCCAUAGAGGAGGAAGCUUGCACAAUCACAAUGGCCCCAGGAAUGGUAAUGGGAAUGGAGGAAGCAAUGGCCAAAACCGCACCAACCCAUCAACCCCAGCCAAGAAAGACCUGAGCCAAGUCACUUGCUUUAAAUGCCAGAAGACCAGACAUUAUGCCAAUGAAUGUCCUGAAUCACAGAAUGGAAAUGGCAAUGGAAGCUCUGGGAAGAAGCCGAACCCUUUUAACAGGGGACAGGUGAACCACGUUAACGUGGAGGAGGUUGAAGAGCAGCCGGAUGCAGUAAUCGUUAAGUUUUUGGUUAAGUCAUUUACUACACUCGUUCUUUUCGAUACUAGUGUAUCGCAUUCAUACAUAUCAAGGGGAUUUGUGGAUAAGUAUAAACUGCCAACCCAAGCCCUUAGGUCACCCAUGUUAGUAAUCUCGCCUGGAGCAGAAUAUAUGGCUAGUCUAUGGUGUGAUCGAUUACCAUUAAGGAUUGGUAACUAUGUUUUUCCCUCAGACCUAAUAUUAUUGGAAUCCCAAGGAUUGGAUGUGAUAUUAGGCAUUGAUUGGUUAUCAAAGUAUGAUGGGAAUAUUGAAUGUGCUAGUAAGUCAAUUUUUCUUACCACCCCAGAAGGGAGAAGGAUCAAGUAUGUAUCCCGACAUGUGCCAAAGAGGACUCAAGUAAAUUGCUUAACAGGAGUUGUGCAGGAAGAAGUACCAGUAGUGAAGGAUUUCCCUGAAGUAUUUCCAGAAGAGUUGCCAGGCAUGCCACCGGAUAGAGAUAUUGAAUUUUUGAUUGAGCUAUUGCCAGGCAUAGGGCCAAUAUCAAAGAGACCAUAUAGGAUUCCUGCAAAGGAUUUGGUGGAAAUUAAGAAGCAAAUUAAGGAGUUACUAGAUAAAGGUUAUAUUCGCCCAAGUUCUUCACCUUGGGGAUCGCCAGUACUUCUAGUGGAGAAGAAGGAUGGAUCGUUAAGGAUGGUUGUCGAUUAUCGAGGAUUGAAUGAAGUAACCAUCAAGAACAAGUACCCACUACCGAUGAUCAAUGAUCUGUUUGAUCGAUUGCAAGGAGCUAAGGUAUUUUCCAAGAUCGAUCUGCGAUCAGGAUACCACCAGUUGAAGAUUCGGGAACAUGAUAUACCCAAGACGGCUUUUACCACCAGUUAUGGGCUGUACGAGUAUACCGUUAUGUCAUUUGGUCUGACUAACGCACCUGCAUAUUUUAUGAACAUGAUGAACAAUGUGUUUAUGGAGUUCUUGGAUAAGUUCGUCGUAGUGUUCAUUGAUGAUAUCCUGGUUUACUCAAAGAACGAAGAAGAGCAUAAGGAACAUUUGCGUUUGGUUCUUGGAAAGCUCAGGGAACAUCAACUAUAUGCCAAGUUUAGCAAAUGUGAAUUUUGGUUGAAGGAAGUUGGAUUUCUCAGACAUGUUAUAUCCGGAGAAGGUAUAGCAGUAGAUCCCACUAAAGUUGAAACCGUGACCAAGUGGGAAGCACCAACCACCGUGGGAGAGAUCCGGAGUUUUCUUGGACUCGCAGGAUACUAACGGAGGUUUAUUGAGAAUUUCUCAAAGAUUGCGAAGCCUAUGACUGAGUUGUUGAAGAAGGAUACCAAGUUCUUAUGGACAGAGGAAUGUGAGGCUAGUUUUCAGGAGUUGAAGAAACAUUUGGUUACUUCACCAGUGUUGAUUUUGCCAGACCAGACCAAGGAUUAUGAGGUAUAUUACGACGCUUCACGUCGAGGACUUGGAGCAGUGCUUACGCAGGAAGGGAGAGUUGUUUCAUAUGCCUCACGACAGCUUAAGCCUCAUGAGUUGAAUUAUGCUACGCAUGAUUUGGAGUUAGCAGCCGUAGUGCAUGCACUGAAGACUUGGAGACAUUUUCUGAUUGGAAACCAUUGCGAAGUGUACACGGAUCAUAAGAGUCUGAAGUAUAUUUUCACACAGAAGGAGUUGAACCUCAGACAAAGGAGAUGGUUGGAGCUCAUCAAGGGUUAUGAUAUGAAAUUGCAUUAUCACCCCGGAAAGGCUAAUGUAGUAGCUGACGCAUUAAGGCGUAAGAGCCAUGUCAACACCCUAAUGACGGGAGAAUUACCAAAGGAUUUAGCCGAAAAUCUUCGAGAGUUAUGUUUAGAAAUAGUCCCGAGAGGCUAUGUAGCAGCAUUGGAGAUUCAGUCUACUUUGAUGGAUAAAAUCAGAGAAGCCCAAAGGACUAACAAGGAGAUUGCUUCUAUCAAAGAGAAAAUUUGCAAAGGAAAAGCUAAGGGAUUUCGUGAGGAUGAGCACGAUACCUUAUGGUUUGAAGACCGUGUCUAUGUACCAAAUGAUUUGGAGAUCAGGAAACUAAUUCUGCAAGAGGCCCAUGACUCACCAUACUCAAUUCACCCAGAAAAUACCAAGAUGUAUUUGGAUUUGAAGGAUAUUUUCUAGUGGACCGGAAUGAAGAAGGAUAUUGCGGAGUACGUAGCAGUUUGUGAUGUAUGUCAGAGAGUGAAGGCAGAGCAUCAUAAGCCAGCAGGAUUGCUACAACCAUUGCCGAUACCCGAAUGGAAGUGGGAUAAGCUAGGCAUGGAUUUUAUUACAGGAUUUCCCAGAACACGUUCAGGCUAUGACUCGAUAUGGGUUGUAGUCGAUCGUUUGACAAAGGUAGCUCAUUUCAUUCCAGUGAAGACUACCUAUACCAGUGCGAAGUUGGCAAAGAUAUGCAUGACCAGGAUCGUAUGUCUGCAUGGAGUUCCAAGGAGCAUUGUAUCGGAUAGAGGGACCCAGUUUACUUCAAAGUUCUGGAAUCAGUUGCAUGAGACUUUGGGAACCAGACUAGAGUUUAGCACAGCUUUCCACCCACAAACAGAUGGACAGACUGAGAGAGUCAACCAGAUCUUGGAGGAUAUGCUAAGAGCUUGUGCGCUAGAUUACGGAUCUAGUUGGGAUGAGAAUUUGCCAUAUGCAGAGUUCUCUUACAACAACAGCUAUCAAUCUAGUUUGAAGAUGGCCCCUUUCGAAGCCCUGUACGGAAGGAGGUGCAGGACCCCAUUGACCUGGGAUGAAGUUGGAGAUCGCCAGUUGUUUGGACCGGAUCUGAUAAAGGAAUAUGAACAGAAGUGAAAUUAAUUCGCGACAGGCUAAAGGUAGCUCAAUCCAGGCAGAAGAGUUAUGCGGAUUCUAAAUGCAAGGAGACCGAGUUUAUCUUCGAGUAUCACCACUUCGAGGAGUUAAGCGCUUUGGAGCUAAGGGAAAGUUAGCGCCACGUUUUGUAGGCCCAUACAAAGUAUUGGAACGUAUGGGAGAAGUAGCCUACAAGUUGGAAUUGCCUGAAGGAUUGUUAGGAGUUCACGACGUAUUUCAUGUAUCCCAGUUGAAGAAGUGCCACGCGGAGAUGGCUGACAUACCACUGAGAGAUACGGUACCACUGGAAGCAAUUCAGUUGGACAGUGAUUUGACUUAUGAGGAGGAACCAGUUAAGAUUCUAGAGUAUGCCAGUCGAGUCACCCGCAGCAAG